CGGAGCAAGACAUCAUCAAUGGAUACCAAAACUACAGUACAACACAUCUCCAUAGCCACCAGAAUGAUAGUACAACACAUUUGAAGAAUGGAAUGUUCAUAUACAGGGUAAAUUAAAGGAUGCAAUGUUCAUACACCGGUAAUGGGCAUGCGCGGUGGACAGGUCCGGUCGUCUUGAACAGCAGUGUCAGAGAGAAUGAUGACUCUCAUUGUGUUCUCAUUGAGCCCGAGUCUCAGAUGGCCUUGUGAAGCCCAAGAUGCUCUACCAGGAGAUCAAGCAUCAUUCUAACUGGGAUCCUUACAAUGCUUGUCUUAGCCUGUGUCAUAGGAAAUUUCAGAAUGGUUAUAUAAUUUUCCAGAGUACUAAAGUUGACAACAGUUGGUUUUAUACCAUGAAAACAAAGGUCUGGGUAACUAAAGGACAACAAUCUUUGUUGUGCAAGAGUUUUAUUAGAUUCUUACUGUCCUGUUCGACAAUUGAGACAUAGUAAUUGAAAAAAAAAUCAAAUGCUACCAUGAAUCAUAAGAUAAACCAGCAGAAAAUCUAAAGCCUAAUCAUCGGACAAAGUCACACACACGAGCAGAUCGCUUCAAGUAUUCAUGUAGAAUAAGCGGGUGCCAGUCCCAACACUCUGAUCAAGCGGAUAAUGCUAAGUUGAAGGAAUCCCGGUUUAGCAUAUGCAUUCAUAUAGAAUAACAAUAAAGUUAAGAAGAAACAUUCAAUUGUUAUAGGAGCAAGACAUAGUGGUGCUUAAUAUCGGCAUGAGAUUAUAAGUCAGAAUCCAUUUCAGUGUGUUCAUUAGACCACAAAAGAUAGCCACUCGGCAUGAAGUUCAAUACCGAAAGUGCAGCCACUCGACAUGAAUCUCCAUUGUUAGGUAUUGUAAGGUAAAACAACAAACCCAGAGAACUAUCUUGCAUCAUAAGUAGUAAAAGAACAAUAAAAGGUGAUAACUAAAGGAGAACAGAGACCUCUUCUUCAGGUAGUAUAUGUGGGUUUCGCUGCUCUGAAUUUUGUAGUUGUGCACAUUGCCCCUUAGUAUCCACAGUACACAAGAAACAUUAACUAAAACCAAUUUGACAGAACCUGAAACCGCAAAAAAGACAACCUGAGUGUGAAUACUCAAAGUUUGGAGACCAAAGAUAAAAACAUGCUCUGAACAAAGAAGAAGUUCGUAAAUGAGAUUCAAAAUAAAUGGGUCGUCUCAUUGGUUUCGUAAAUGAUAUGGAAAAAAUCACCCAAUGCAUACAAUCUAUUGUUGCUUCAUACAUAACACAUGCUUUUCUUAGUUAAUUUGUUACCGCACAUAAAGACAAACUUGAGUUAUUCUGUUCAAACAUACAAGAAGAAGAAGCUAAAAAUAUUGCAUAUUUAGAAGCACAAGAUGUACAACAUGCAGAAACAAAUGAUGCUUAAGCCUGUUAAGGGAACUGUACCAUUUUAGCAUCAGAACCUUUCAACUUUAGAUAGUUCCGAAUAAUAUAUCUAGCAAUUGGGCCAUGUAGAUGAUGCAACAAAUUUUGUGAUGUAAUUGCUUAAAAGAGUUAGCUUUGUUAAGGCACCUAAUAUCCAACUUUAGCUUUCUUACAGAAGAACUGACCAAGUAUUCUCUAGACAACAAUUCAACUGAAUUUAAGCAAAUAAUGACAGAAAUCACGAUUAUUUGUCAUUUUGAAAGGUUAUGUUACUUCCAGAAACCACACCUCCAUCAAUAUUUUCUGUCUGGCCAUGGUGUAGAUUUGUUUAUGUUGUGCUUUUUUUCAUUUGCUCUUGACCGUUAUAUUUUGUCAGACAGAGAAAAAGCUAGACAACCAACAAAUAAAACCAGGCAAUAAAACGAAAGUGCGGCUUGCCGCACCCCGCACCCCUGCCGGGUGCGGUCAUAUCCAACCUGGUGACCAUCGAACACAGCAGGUCACACUUCAAAUUUGAUAGGUUGACAUGAUGAAGGAAAAGUGCACAGGUUUAGAACAUUAUACCAAAAGCAAAGAAGAAUCACAUCACACAAUAACUUAUUUACAAAUGCAGUGACAUUAUAUCCAACUUGAUAGAACACGAUUCAUAUUCGAUUUAGCCUGUUACACGAAAUAGCAAAGCACGAUGGCAGCACCCAUCCAGUCCACUAUUGGUUACACAAUAUAUAUUCCACAAAUUAAAGGAAAUAUGGACCAUAGAUUCCAUCAUUUGAAUUUCUCAAACAUAUAGGAGGAACUAAGAACUAAUAACAGCAAUGGUUUGCUUGAUAACUAUACUUUGAAUCAACAUAGGCAUCAUGGUUUCUAUUCUUUCUGAUGCCUCUUCCAAAAGCAAUCCGACCAAUUGUCUUCUCAAUCCUUGCGGACAUCACGUAGAGCUGAAAACACAAACAAGGAUCAGUGAGCCUUCCUAUGAAGGUGCACAAAAUCAUCUCAUAAUGGGUACCAGAUGUGCAAAAGAAGAAAAUUAGGCUGAGUAGAACAUAUCAGAUUUUCAAAAAUAAAUAAAUUGAGACGAUAGAAACAAAACAGAUCAAAUGAAGUAGCAUUUGUGUUGUUCGAUGACGGCAACAGUAACGAAUCAUCCAGAAUACAUAUAGAUGAAGUAGAAUCAUGGCUCAAUGUCGAUGCUUCAUCUAAAGUAGAGACUGAAUAAACAAAUUACCAUUGUUAAUAUCUUCAACCCACUAUACAAAUUCAGCCAAUUCCUCCUGUGAUUCAAAAGAAGCUCCAAUAUAUAAGACUCACUCGACAGUAAACUAUCUUUAGUUACCUGCAAAGAAAUUUUGCACAUUACACCACAAAUUAACAGUAAAGUGUAAACCAAACCAACACAACCUUUUGCAAUUAUGGCCUUCAUUAUUUAUGUAUGUACUGUUGAACAUUCUAACGCAAUUCGUUUCCGAACAAUUUAAUAUGCAGCCAAAUUUUGAUGUGCUUACCUGGAAUAAACCGUGGCCAAGCAAUGAAAAGAAUCUACACAAGGAAUAAACUUGUGUGGAAGAGCAAAACAUUGUAACCUCUCAAGUAGCUGGGUGAGAUAAACUACUCUUAGAAACACCAAGCCUCCCAGAAGCAAGUAACCUGAAGAAAAAAAAAUGAUAGGUUGACACCCAUGUGCUUCUCUUGUCCUGGUUAAAUCAAUUCAGGAUUGCAGGCAGGUGAGGCAAGUAACAUCGUACCAUUGUAGUACAGAAGUCCUUCAGCCCAGACAAACUUAAAGCACUCAUCUACACUCCGCCUCAUGAAUAGCAGCUCUACCUCGUGGCCGCAACUUGCCUUGCACACCAGUUUUAUUAGGGUACCUACGACCACAGUCCUAGAAACAUGAAGACCACCAAAACUAACCAAAAUACACAAGGAAAGAAGUAGAGGGAGCUUGCCUCGGAUGUAGCGAGGAGUGGGAAUAAAAUCAAAAAAGCAGCUGACUCAUCCAGCGGCGUGGCAACCUGAUCCGGGUGAGAGGAAGCAUACCCCCCAACAAAACCAAGUCCUCCAAGCCAAAAACCAUGGGGUAAUUGUGGAGUUUAGGACUUCAAUCCAUGAGGAAAGUCUGAAAAAUUUGAGGAGUGGUCAUUCGGUGGUGAAUUGAACAGAUUAACUCGAAAUUGCCAUCAGACAUGACGGCGACCACUCGAUUAACUUGAAAUUGCCAUCAAUAGACCCCCGCUGCAUCAAGCAUCAACCAUGGCGAGAAAAAAAUCCUUAACUCAACUGAAAAUACAUGCCUAGACUGCUAUGUAGUCAAAACCUGAAAUCUACGUGGACAUGAAUCAACAACGCCAAAAUAGACCACGAAUGCCAUAAUAUAUACAGAACCACACCUAGGAUGUAGAUCCUUCAACAAACAACAUGAACACAUAAUGCCAAAAUAAACAUAUCAGUGAACAAACACCAUGAACACACAUGAUGCCAAAACAAUAGAAGUCGGAUAGGAUGUAAUGCGAAAAUAGUAGAAGCUGAAAAAGACAAGCACCUGUGCAAGGAAGCAACGUGGUCGACCCAUCCUCAAGAGCAACAACCUAUUCAUUGUCGGCAGAAGAGCACUACCAACCACCAAUCAGGAGAAUAAACCCUAACGCAUCUCUGUGAAAACAGGGCAAAAAUAGACCUAGAUAAGCAUCAGAUCUUGGCAGCUAGUAGAGGGCCAAGCAAGGGACCAGGAAAAAUUGUAAGAAACCAUAGAGCAUAAACACACUGAUCAUUAAGCAGACAUAAUAGUGUAUCUGGAACAUAAUAAAAGCUGAUGGAUCAUGGCCUAUAGGUAAAAUAAUACUAUUUCAAAUAGAGAGUUCAAAGUUUAGAUCAUCAAUGAAUUGCACCUCCUCAAACUCGGAUUACAUAUUUAUUAAAUAAGCUGAGAAGCACUUGGGGUGAGUGACCUCUAUUCAUGUUCUAUACUCGUGGAUCAUGGCCUACGGGUAAAAUAAUAAUGUUUCAAAUAGAGAGUUCAAAGUUUAGAUCAUCAAUGAAUUGCACCUCCUCAAACUCGGAUUACAUAUUUAUUAAAUAAUCUGAGAAGCACUUGGUGAGAGUGACCUCUAUUCAUGUUGUCAAGCACACAGAUGUGAGUGUUAGCCAUUUAAUCUGGGGAAAAGAGAGCAUUUUAUAAAUGCAUUUAUCUCUAACAUCAUAAAUCUUUGCAAGUUUGAUUUUUUCCUUUUAAAAUUACCAUGAAUAAAUUACAUAACCCUCAUGCUUUAUUAUCUUAGUAUCAUGUUAAUGGAAAAAAGAGCACCAUUGCUUUGCCAAUGAGCGCGCCGCAGCAGGCGUCGGGCACCACGAGCACCACCACGGCGGCCCUAGAGUCAAUCACUUGGUCACCCUGCAAGCAAUGCAGAUCAGCGGAUCAAUCCAUCAAUCAACCAAAGAAGAUGAAACUGGUCUGAACCCAAGGAACCAAAUCAGUCAACCAAGUGUAACUCUGAAGAAAGGCCCUUGUUUUUACUGAGAGGCAGAGGGAGAGGGAGAGGGCCUGAAUCUGAAUGUUUGUUUACGACUUAAUCUGGUGGAUAAAUCUAUUUAUAAGAAGCCUAAACAAUUUGAUUUCUUUUCUUUUCUACUAACAUUAUAAGAAAGAAACCCAUCAGAACUGAACAUUAAAGCACAGAGUUAGGAAUAAAACAUAAUUAGCACCUCUUGAGGGUUGAGACUAAACGCUAUAUGAACCACGUACAUACGCAAUAAAUCUCCAAGGUGAAGAUCCAAUUAGCAUAUCAUGUCAAGACAGAAUGAUGCUUAAGCAAUAUAGCAUGGAAAAACUAUACUAAAAACGUGCAAAGCUUGCAAAGGAGCAAAAAGGUCACAAUCUAAUACACAGGUCCAGAUCCAUCAUCAUUAUACUUACUCCACAUAGAAAAGGAAAUAGGAGAUCAAAAAGACCAUGAAAUCUUACUCUCUCCAUGGCCUGCCGCGGCAGGGGAAAGUCCUCUUGCAGACCAAGCCGGCGGCCAGCAACGUCCGAGCCCAACUCGAUCAUCUCCUGCAGUUCAAAGAUGAUAGAGAAGCAAUUAGCUAGGAUUAAGCAUGUGAAGAGUGCACAACAUCAUCGAAUAUAAUCUCGCCAUAGGCGUGUUUCGCCAUCAUAAUAAAUCAAUCCACAACCCAAUUGGACCCAAUGUUCACAAUAUCGGUUCUUGUAUGCAUCAAGCAGAAUUCAACUCUAACAGUGGUUUUGUACCAUUUUCCUUUACCCACUCGAUUAAAUCUGGCACUAACCAAAACUAUGGCAUUAACAAAACUAUACAGCAGUUUAGUACCCAAAAUACAGCUACCUAUACACAAUCCACAGAGAAGCUAAAAGGACCACCUCAUGUGCAUGCUAGUGACAAAGGGAUAAACAGAAGUAAAACUGUUUGUUACUUACUCUCAUGAUAACUACAAAGUAAAGCAAAGUCUGGUGGGAUCUGGCCUGAACAUCAAUAUAAGAAGAACAUAGAAAAUGCCAUUGGAUAAAAUAGAAGCUUGAGACCUUUAUUCUAAAGAGGAACACCAAACCAACCAGAAUGUCAGAUACGAUAUCAUCAAUAUAAUUCAGAAGUAAUGGAGUUUGCUACUCAAUGUAUACAUGUGUACCUUCGUCACCACUGAAGCAGAUCAGGUUGUCCACUCUCGCCCUUUCAUAACGUGCAUAUCACUUGAGCCCGGGUAAAACUCAAAUUUAAAUGCAAGAGGAUUGUUAUUAGCAUGGACCUAGCAAGAUCAGUCAUAGGUUAAAUAUCAAGCAAUCACAUUGGCAACCAAAACUGGAGGGUAGAGCAGAACUGAAUGUAUGCAUGUUCGCCGGAUCCUAGUCUAUCCAUACAAUUGAUACAGCUUCUGUAGUCACGUGUGUAUCAAUUAGUAAGAAAUUAAUAUUUGUAAACCGAUUCUAAACCAAGCGCAGCAGCAUAUGGCAAAUCAUAUUUGGACAGGUCUCUAUCUACUACUUAAGAGCAGGGUGGAGAAGAUCCUGGCUGAGGCCAAGCGAACCGGGAGGUGGAAGAUGGACACUGAAGGUACAAGAAGUCUACAAAGCCAAUGGCGUUACAAAGGUGGCUGCAUGUAUUCUUUCAAGUCCACCUUGACCUGAACAUCAGAAAUCACAAAUCAAAUAUAACAUGGAAGGUGCUCUGAACCCAAUCUUUCUUUCGUAAACAUGGAGAAACUCUUGUGAAUAGAGCAAGCUUACGUCAUAUAAAAAAAUAUUAUAAGAAAGAACACCAAAUAAGAGCAAACAAAAUUAAGUUCAGAAUAUAUAUGCUAGCAAAUCAAGAACCGUACAAAAGAAGUAUCGUGGGCCAAAUCAAAGUCAUAUAGGCCACUAACUAACUAAAAAUAUGACAUAUCCAAGAUAGGGAACCACUAAUCAGCAAAUACACAGCAAGUCCCCUUAACUUGCAGUGAGGUUAAAUAUAUUCUUUCUAGUGGUUGCUAUUGUACUCUGUAUAGCUGAAAGCUGUGUAAAUAAAUCAUGUUUAAUGCACAAGCAAUAUUUAGUAGGGAAAGUCAUAGCUAAAAGACUGUCACAACCAAAAUCAUGACAGCCUGCCAUCGACCAGGAAACUCCAUAGGACACAGAAUAUUGUAAAAAAAACUCCAUCAUAGCAGUCACAAUAAAUCUCAAGAAACUCCAUAAAAGAUAGAAUAUUGGCAACUGCACUAUGCACUACACAUGUUUGGAUUAGAACAUUGAAUCAGUAUGAUUAGUAUGCUGCUUCACCAGAAACAACGCGCAAAGCACACACUGCAUUAAGUUGACUAAGCUCCCCCAAACCCACCACUCCAAAUCGAUCUUCACUGUUAGACAGGAAGAAUACAUUUAAAUUUCAGUUCAUCCUAAGGCAAACAAGAGAAUUGAAGAAGAAGAAAAUCGGACGAAACUGAAUUUGUCCAUUCACAACGCUGUAUAACCGUGUCACAAUAAUGAACAUUGACGGACACGACGAGCUCAGAGCACCCACCGGAGGCAAGGAGAGGAGCUCACCCUCGUUGGUUUUGUAGCGGGUGUCGAACAGCGCCACCACACAGAAGCAGCAGCGCCAAGGCGCUCAUCACAACAAUGAUGGCGACGGUGUUGUACCGAACUGAAUCCUGCUACACAAGAGGAACAAGAGAAAUAACAGUGAGUGAGGUUUCCUACUCUACUUUGUCUUAAUUAAUAGAACCAAAGUAACCAGUAUGAAUGAAGCCAAAGGCCUAACAGUGAGGACUGGAGAAAUAUGUCUACAUGAUUCAGACCGCAUCAUUGGACAACAUGUGAAUGGCAGAAAGCCGCAAACCAAAUUGGCUUUAUUUAUCAGGUAAGUGACAUUAGAAUAGAUAAUUAUCUUAUCAUCAGGUAAAGAGUGACAUGACAGCCACUCCACGCUUGUUGCUUGCUUCAAACUACAUCAACUACCUACCAGCGCAUAGAUACAUACAUGGCUUAAUUAUUAAAGAUCCAUCAAUUCAUCUAUCUUAUAUCUGAACACACGGUUUUUUUUGUACGUCUCUUUGUGGCUAGUGGGUGCAGGGAUUUUGUUUGUUACCGGGAAGCUGUAAAUCUUGCUUUGUUUUGACUCAAGGACCUUGUGAUUUGAAAUAAAUUCCUCUACUCUCAUUAAUUCAUUUGCUCUCCACUCCUCUCCUCACCUCUGAAGAGAAGAAAUAGGCAGAGGGGUCUCACUUGGAUGAGUUGUUGUGUGAUAAGCAAACAAAUAUUCCGCUAAUGACUUAAUUAAGGAUCUGAGCAAAUUUAGAUCACACAAGACAAGAGCAGAAAAAAAGCGGAAUCGGCCUAGUAGAAGAAAGAGGGAAGGGAACAUAGAUGAUAGAGAGGGGGAGGGGACCUUCCAAUUCCAUGGUGUGUGUUUUGGCAGGCUCCUCUACAGGUGGAGAAGGAGCAGACCUCGCCGGAGCUUCCCUUGGUUGUCGGUGUUGCCGUCGCUAGCCGUUGUACCAACAGAAUAGAGAGAAGACGAGAUGGGGGUUAGAGAAGAAGAAAAAGAAGAAUAGGAGGAGGGGAUAUGGGUGAGAGAUCACCUUGACGAGCAGGGAGGAAGGCUCCAUGUCCACGAGCGGAGCAGCAGCAGCGUCCUCGCCUCCCGAUGAUGAUGUGCGAGCUCGCCUGAGGAGCAGCAGCAGCCGUGGUGCUUCCCGGUGGGUGGCGGCGCGAGUGGAGGCGGGGAAGAGAGAGGAGAGCGCGGCUGAGAAGGGGAGAGGGGGAGUGGCGGCUAGGGUUCAUCCAACCCAGGCGACGUAGAGGAGAAGAGGCGAGGCAGGGAGGGAAGGCGCCAACCGGCGGCUCGAGGGAGGGGCGGAGGAGGGAAGCGGCGCGACGGCGAAAGGGGAAGGCGCGACGGCGAGAGGGGGUGGGAGGACCUCGAGGACGGUAGUGGCUCAGGUCAACGACGCCGCGUCGAUCCCGCCGUGGAUCUGGGCGCUGCAUCGUGCGGCGGCGGCCGGCUGGGCGAGAAGACGACGGCGGCGGGGCUGGGAGGCGCGGGAGAGAGAGAGGCGAGGCGGGGGAGGCGCGAGUGCGGGAGGGAGGCGGCGGCUAGGGUUCUAGCACGGGAGGGAGAGGUCGGGGAGAGGGUUGGGCGAGCGGAGGCGGCUGCGCGAGUGCGGGAGGAGCGACGGUUAGGUCACACCCAUGUUGCUAUUGGGUAUUUUUCCAGCCAUGUGAAAUGACGAAAAUGCCCUCGGGGGGCACUGGAAUUACGUGUGGUGGCAGGCCGGGAGUGAAACGAGCGCUCAGUUUCUAUCCAACGGUCGAGGGCGUUCGGGAGGGGGAUCGGACGGCCGGAAACGCAUCAAGGAGCCGAUCCGACGGCCAGGAGGCUCAAUUCGCUGAGGAGCCUCUGGCAUCCACUCGUCUCUUAUUUCUGGAUACAGAUAACACAACCUUAGCAUGUCUCAGAAGUCAGAAUCAAUGUAACCAAAGCAUCAACAGAUUAACGAUCUACAAGCUAAAACAUGACAUCAUUUGACUUCAGGUUCAGAUUAGCAUCAGGCAUCAACUAUCUAAGCAUGCACUCUGUUCCUGUUUUCAUGGAUGGUUAUCCAUGAGUUUUAUUGGUUCUUGUAUUAAUCUAGGAACACUCUGUAAAUAGCACGACUCAUCCAAAGCAGAAUCCGGAUCCAUGAAGCACAUGCCCAUAUAUAACGAUAAUACCACAUAUAAUUGCCGUCACCUCCAUGGCCAAUUGGCCCGUGGCUGCCGCCACCGUGUGCACGCUGUUCCUCAGCAGGCCGCACGAGACGCGCCACCGUGUCCUGAGGAAUCAGGGGCGGUAGAUCCAGUAGCCUGAGUGGUGGCGGUGGAUGGGAUGGAAGGGGGGCCGUCGGCGCGUCCUCCGUGCCAUUGCCCUUGUCUUGCAGCAGCGCCCACAGGUCGCCCACCUCCGCUCGGAGCUUGUCCACCGACCUCUUGAUCGCCUGCUUCCACCCUUGGAGGUCCAGCACCACGGGGUGGAUCUCGUCGAUCUUCGCCGACGUAGCCGACAUGGCCGCCAUGGCUUUGAUCUGCUCCUCCAUCACGGUCGUCUUGCCGCGCCUCGUCUGGAUUAUCGACGGAAAUCGUCCGGCCAGCUUGUGCCGAGCGAGAGGAAGAUUGUGGGAAAAGGCUCUGAUUACCAACUGUUAUGGUGUCAGUUCAAUCUAUUACAAGGGGAUCGGGAGGGAGAUAGCCGCCGCCACGCAGAGUCGUCUCUCCACUCGCUCGCCUCACCUGCUUAGUACCACUAGGUGGCGUACUGGUGGGCCGGUUACCGGUUACUGGGCCUUGGGUUGCGCUUCGGUGGGCUCUGGACCUCAUCCUCUUGUGGCCCGCUUGCUGGGAUCAUAACAGAAUUAGUGUACUAUUCAAGAAUGAAUUUACAGCCGAGCCUCAUGCAGUCGACUAACUAUCUUAUUCUUGUGUAAUCAACUUGCCCAGGUAUCUGGUAAUAAUUGAUGACAUAUGGCAUCGUGGAGAAUGGGACAUCAUCAGGAGGUCUUUUCCAGAAAAUAAUCUUGGCAGUAGAAUUGUCAUCACUACUCGUAUUGCUUCUCUACCAGGAGAUGAUUUGGAUAAUAGCAAGCUCUGCAUCAGAAUGAAUCCCGUAUCGAGAACAUAUGGUACGUCUGAUAGGAGAUGGCAGUACGGAUGGGAAGAUCUCGCCACACGGAUGAAGCCUGAGACGGCUGGACAAGGUUUUGACUGUAACCAUCCGAUUGCGCGCAUGUGUGGUGGUGUGCCGUUAGCACUACUUUGCCUAUUUUCAGCAAUGGCACUGAUCCGAGAGCAACAAGAACAACUAGGGGUAAAUGUGAAUGCAAGUGAUGUGCAAGAUAUGAUUGAGAAGCAAGUUAAGCAAUGUGGAAUUCAGAACACUCCAGGGUUUGAACCAUUGGUAGAGAGCCUGCAGAUUGGCUAUGACAAUCUUCCUCACCAUAUGUUGAAGACCUGCUUGUUGCACUGUAGUAUAUACCCUGAGAAUUACCAUUUUCACAUGAAUGAUUUGGUCAUGCGGUGGGUCGCUGAAGGAUUUACUUAUAAAAGAGAUGCAGCGGAAGACUAUCUCAAAGAGCUUCACAACAGGGGGUUGAUGCUAUGGGCUGGUUACGGGGCCUACCGAAUGAAUCCGAUUAUGCGAAAUUUCCUUAGAUGGAAAUCACGUGAAGAUAAUUUCAUUACUUGCAGUUCCGACAUCAAAUCCUCAUGUGCCUUUACAAUCCAUCGGCUAUGCAUUGACAAUUAUCAAGUUGAUGAUGGUGCAGAUGCAGUGGAGGGGAUGGAUCCCUUGUUUGGACUGGAUUGGUCUCAGAUUCGAUCUCUUGUUGUUUUUGAAGGUGCUAAGAGAUAUGCCCCCUUUGAGAAGUUGGAACAUGUGCGGGUGUUGGAUCUUCAAUAUCAUCAGCAACAUCUUGAAUUCGAAGAGCGUGUUCAUGGUUUUAGGGGUUUGCCAGUCAGAAAGGCUCUUGGGAAUCAUCAUGUGAAGGUUAUAUGUGGACUGCCCCGUGUGAGACACCUAUUUGGUCUAGAGGGGACAGGAAUUAGUGAGAUACCACCAGAAAUAGCGAGGCUUCAGUAUUUGGAGACUUUGCAGGUAAGAUUCACAUCGAUCAUGGAGUUACCCAAUGAGAUUGGGGACCUACAACAAUUGAAGACUCUGGCCGUGAGUCACAACCGCCAGCUAGCAGAACUGCCCAGAGAGAUUGGAGACCUCCAACAUCUAGAGACACUAGAACUGAGUUACAACGGCAGGCUCAAAGAGCUACCACGUGAGAUCGGGAACCUCCAGAAUUUGGAAAAUCUGAACUUGCAUCACACCAAACUCAAAGAGCUGCCUCCGGAGACUGGGAAGUUGCAGCAUUUGAAAACUCUGGAGGUGGGAUGGGCAAGCAUGACAAGGCUAGGAAGUGAAAUCGGAGACCUGCAUCAUUUAGAGACCCUGGACCUGAGUCACAACUUCGGGCUCACACAACUGCCUCGUGAGAUCGGGAAAUUGCAGAAUUUGAAGCGGUUGCGCUUGCGUAAUACAGGGGUGAUGAAGACGCCAAGGGAAAUCGGAGGGCUCAAGAAGCUGGAGAAUGUGGAGUUAGACUAUACAAUGGGUACACUACCCUGGGAAGCUUGCCAGCUUUCGAAAUUGGAGGGAGUGCCCGAGUGCAUCCGCCAAGCCUGGAAGAAGAGUGAUCUUGUGUCUCGUGUGCUAGCCAGGGAGAUCUUGUCAGUUAAGCUGUUUAAUGUGCUCGCACUUAGUAGCGGGGGCCUAAUUGUUGGCACAAAACACAUGGGAAUUCCACGGUGGAUCAAGGAUCACUUCAACGACCUUGGCUCCUUGGAUAUCAGGAUCUGCAAACUUGAGGAGGAGCAGGAUCUCAAGAUUCUGCGGGAGAUGCCUAAGCUGCGUUACCUCGGGCUAAGGCUGGAGGUCGUCCCGCGAGAUCCCAUAGCCAUCAGCGGUGAAGGGUUCACGAGGCUCGAGCUUCUCUUAGUUGACUGCCGCAUGCCACGGGUUAUCACCUUCCAGGAAGGAGCGAUGCCGAUCCUGAGAUGCCUUACCUUUGAGUUCCAGUUCUACGGUGGCCCACCUCCAUCUGCAAAUAGAGGAGACCCUCGGCUCGGUAUCAAGCACCUCCGCCGUCUCUCAAGUGUCGCGUUUAGCUGCAACGUGGAAUGGUAUGGAGGAGCAGCAGAGAGCAGCCCGUGCAUCAGCGCCAUGAUUGAAGUCGCCAGGAAAGAAGCCCAGGAGCAUCCCAACAAGAUCGACUUUCUUGUCUCUGGCCGACGAGAUGAGGAAUUUCCAGCAAAUGAGAGCUUGGCACGGGAGGUUUCCCAGUCCAGCAGCGCUGAGAAUGAGAUGAAGAGCCUGGCACAGGAGGUUUCCAGCAGCACUGCGACGGGCCCUGAGAUCCUGAAAGCAGCAGCAGCGUGAUCCUGGAGAACAAAUGGUUGGUGGGGGGCAUGCACAAGAUUUGACCACAGUGAGAAAAAUGGGAACAAACCUACUACUCCUCCAUCUGAUGCUGUUUGUUGUUUGCCCGUCCAAGUUAUAUUAUACUACUGUAUGUAUGUAUGUCAUGUAAUUUAAUAACCUAAGGGAGCCAAUACUGUCUCUCUUUAUUUUAGAAUCAGAGCCAACACUAUCUAGUACUCCUAUUAUAAUUUUUUUUGCGAGAAAAUUUUCGAUCUAUUCAUCUUCAGUCAUGGCAAUACAACGAAUACCAAAAAUAAUAGAAAUUACAUCCUAAUCCGUAGACCACCCAACUACGACUACAAGCACUUAGGCGAGCCGAAUGCGUGCUGCCGUCAUCGCCCCUCCAUCGCCGGAGUCGGGCACAACUUGUAGUAGACAGUCGGGAAGUCUUUGUGCUAAGACCCCGUAGGAUCAGCGCACUAGAACAGCAACCAUUGCGGAUGAAGAAUAACGUAGAUCAGAAGGACCCAACCCGAAGAUACACGAACGUGGACGAACAACGACGAGAUCCGAGCAAAUCCACCAAAAAAAGAUCCGCCGGAGACACACCUACACACGCCCACCAACGGUGCUAGACGCAUCGCUGGAACGGGGGCUAGGCGGGGAGACCUUUAAUCCAUUUUCAGGGAGCCGCCGCCGCCUUGUCUUCCUGAGCAGGACACAAACCCUAGCAAAACUAAAAGAAGCGACUAAAAAUGAAGCCCUCCCGCCGGCCCUUGCCGAGAUCCACGGCACCCCCAUGGCCCUAGGGCCACCGGAGAGGAGGCGGACCUGCGGCGGGGCCGCGAGAGGCAGAAACCCUAGGUAUUUUGUACAGAGGAGGAGGCGGUUAUUAUAAUUUUACGACAAAACUCUUCUCUUGUUGUUAUUAUGAUGUACUACUAAUAAAUGUGACGGUUUCUUUCUUUGUAGUCCAAAGGAGAGAUUAUUCAUAGCUGACUAACCCUCAAGCAGAGAUUAUAUUAUAUUUGGUAGGGGUGGGCCGUUUUGGUGACCGGGCUCCAUGCAGCCCAAUUUCUGGAAAAAAAAUCAAAAUUCAAACUUUUGAUUUAAUAAAAUCUGAAAAAUGCAAUUACACAAAGAUGAAAUGUAUAUCUGUGUAAAUAAAACUGAAUAAACUAGCACAAACACACAAACUAAUACAGAAGCCUUGGUAACUGAAUCAAUUAGUAAUUCAAGAACCUGUUACAUUCUCUUUUUCAUUGUUCUCCCAGUAAUUUCCACCUGAUGAAUGACCAAUAACAAAUGUAAAAAAAAAUAUGUACAAUCCCUCGCAAAAAUAAAAUAAAAUAUGUACAAUAAUGGCGAAAAUGCCAUUUGGAGGCCGAGCACCUGGAGGCCGUAAUCUCGAGCGUCUGUCGUCAUAGCGAUCAGCUGCAGGCUCGCAUUAAUUGCACGCAUUUUCAGCUCACAGGCAUCCACCACGCACCGUAUUCUGUAUUUACGUACAGUGUCAGCCCACGUAGUCGAUGGCGCGCUGUCAAGCUGGUCAGACGUGCGAAUCAACCUGUGGUUGAGUUGGUUAGGUGGACAGUGGUAUCCCCAACCCACCAGGGUUCAAAUCCUGGUGCUCGCAUUAUUCCUGGAUUUAUUUCAGGAUUUCCGGCGAUGCGCUUUCAGUGGGAGGACACGCUCCCAUCGACGACGAGGCACCUACGGUGACUUCGUAAAUUUCAAGAUGAUAUGCCGGCUCAGUCUCUCGGAGGUGCUCAUAGGGGUAGGAUGUGCGUGCGUGCGUUCAUAGGGGUGAGUGUAUAUGCGUGUAUAUGAGCGCUUGUGUCUGUACUGAUGCUCAAAAAAAAAGCUGGUCAGACGUGCUAUCGAUUCACCCAUCAUGGCCAGCCAAUGCGAGCAGUAUAAUUAAGAACAUGGGCGCUGGCGUACGCUCUCAUGUUCCCAUUCAGAUCCACUAGCCGUUUGCACGACAUCCAUCUGAUUCCGAACUUUGAGGCUCACGAUCAGAACAUUUAGAAGCCAUCUAUUUAUACCGGCGAAGAAGAGUACCGUCUGUACCCAUUUCAACACAGGAAAAUCACACAAGAACAACACCGUAGCCAUGGCGUUGUGGUCUUCCUCAGCUCGUCCGAGAGAUAGGCGGCAACACCUCCCGCCCGUCGACACAUCUGAGCGCUAUACCAUGCGUUUGCGUCUGUGCACAUUUUCGCAGCAUCCUACAAACUGAGCAGCACCUCGUUUUCUGACUUUUCUACCUAGAGAAAAGGUAAUUUUCCUCAUUUUGCUCAUUUGCCCAAUCGGGGGCAGGUGCAGCUCUUGCAGCAACAAAGAUCACCAUGAAAAAAAGAAACAUUGUUUCUGAAACCACAACACAAAAGCACCAUAAAUUGAUUUAACAGAGAAAGCAACACUCUGAUCGUACCGCAGCUAAGUCAAAUACAACAAACAUACAGUCUGGGACGUCGAUCUCAAGCGUGCUAUUAGCGAGACGUUGUACACCGAUAUAUUUAGCGAGGCAAUUCUCAAUACGCUAUAGCGCGCUAUUUUUUUCAGUGGUGUAAACCAGCGAUGCAUGUACUCGAUGGGGAUAUUUUGCUUUAGAACAACACCGCCCUACAAAUAGAUGGAUUUGAUAAGAAAUAAGAUUACUAGUAAUUAAUGCAAAACGAAAGCUGUCACAACAUGAGAUAGAUGACAGAAGUCCAACUCACUAGUCUAGUCCUCUUCUCCUGAUAGUUCUCUUCGAAACCGCGAUCAAAUUGCAUCUUCUCAUGCUUACUAACAAAAAAAUGCAUUGGGCAUCAUUCGGCACAUACCCUUUCAGGAGGUCAUUUGCACUCUCACUGCGCCGUGUGCUUGUCAUCUUCGCACGGAAAACGCCCAUGAAGUAUGGCUUUGCCCACUUCCUCCUCACCUCAUACCGCUGGGUGAGGAAUGGGUUCUUCUGCAGCCCAUAUUUUUCAAUCAUACUUGCCCACCCCCUCCUCAUCUCAUCCUGGACAUUAUAUAUAAAUUCCUGGUCCUCUGCCCUAAACGCAUUGAACGCCUCUAUGGUUUUGGUUGCAUCAUUGAUCGACUGUUCCCGGUUUAGCUUGCCGCGUAUUAUUUUUAAGGACCGUUUCGUGAAUGGCACGUCCUUUAUCGUCCCAAAGAAACCGCCCACAGCACUGUAAACUUUGCUAAUGCUUAUAUUGUUCUCCCUCAGUUGUUUUACCAGGUCCCUUGUGUAACUAUCUAUGUGCCGGUGUGACUUCCAAUUCAAUUUCUCUCCACAGUUAACUGAUAGAUCAUGGAUGUGACCUGACCUGUGCUCGCACACAGCAUCAUCUAACCUCAGCAGCCGCAUCAUUGCUUUGCACCCACACCUAGUUGACCUGCUGUUAGCUUGCAAUGGUUUACACCCUGCAGAAAACACACUCACAGACCACACUCCACGUAAGAUUUAACCUAAAUGAUCAUUCCUCACAAGCACGAUAAAAAAUGUUGGUCUUGGUGACUCACCGCACAGGCGCACACUAUCUCAUGCGUGCACUUCUCCUGGUCUACAUUCAAACGGCUUUUUGCAUAACGGGCACCAAAACCAACUUCCCACAAGUAGAGAUUGUAAAAUUCGUAGCCCUCCUCGACAGAAUCGAAGCUAGUGCCAAUCGCUAAAUUAGUAGCAUUUCCAGUCUUGUUGUCGACAAAAGCACGAACUGAAGCCCCCAGGGCAGGCACUUUGCUUGAACUCUGCUCCCUCUCAUCUGCUGCCUCACCAAUUCUUUUUUUUUGAGAAACACACAAGCUGAAAUUACUUAUCAAGCCUACAUUCUUUGGACCAGGUAUCUUUUAGUUCAUCGGGCACCGAGGACAGCUGGAAGAAGUCCCCUGACAGUUUUGCACGAUUCGCCAGGCCAUGAGCUAGGCCAUUUUGUUCUCUCCUGAUCCAUCUGAUUUUGCAUGAGGGAUAGCCAGCCAGAGUCGCUUGUAUGUCUGCAACUAUUGGAUACAGGGGCGAUUGAUUGGGUACUCCGAGUGCUAUUGCCUUGGACAGCACAAGGCAGUCCAUCUCGAACUCAAUAAGGCUGCUAAAAUAGUUUGUUAGUUCCCGGAGCCCCAUGAGCCCAGCCAUUCCUUCUGCUUCCUUCACUGACGAACAUCGAUCUAUAUUGCAUCCCAAGGAGAAGAGGACACGGCCCUGGUGGUCUCUUGCAACUGUGUCACCCGCGCUGCGCCCCGUGGUUGCCUUAAAAGCUGCAUCUGUGUUUAAUUUAACCGUUCCAACAGGCGGGGCCUCCCAUUGCAUGGUGUCCUCAACCGGUGGUGUGAGGCGCUGAUCCCCAUACUGAUUCAUGUCGCAUGUUGCUUUCACCUUGUCAGUUCUCGUUUGGGCUUCUCUGACUUCUUGCUCAUACUUAAGUAGGAAACCCACCGAUCCUGAGAUGGAUUCUUUUCCGUUCCCAUGCACUAUAUCAUCAUGGAGAAACCAUGCACGCCAUAGCAUCAGCAAGAUCCUGUUGCGCAUUUCAGCGUCGCAUCUAUUGAGCAUGACCUGUAACCAAUCCUCACCUGUGUACCAAAAGGCUUGUUCGUUUGGUAGAUGCAGUAAUCUCUCAUCAUAUGCCUCAGAGCUUUGCUUUUUUGUGCAUUCCACUACCGCAUGGUAUUCAUUCUCAUCCGCAUUCCCGCAGAUCGCACAAGUCUUAUCUGGCACAAUUGUCCGCCUGCACUUAUUCACUUUUGUAGCCAGGGUGUUGGUUGCUAUCCUCCAUGCAAAGAUUUUUAUUUUUUUCAGGUAUCUUUGCUUUCCAAAUGAGGUCCCAUAGGCUCCUAUCAUCUAUGUCGGCCGAGGAGCUGGAUGUUUGUGGGCCCGACCUUUAAGAGCCAUAGCAAGCUUGUAAGCACUCUUGACUGUAAACAUGUCGGAUUUUUCAGGAUGCUGAGCAAUGCAGUCCUCGGUCUCUCUGGCCGGAUUGAAUAUCUGGUUUAGCAACGUUCGGUUCCAGGUCCUCAGGCCGGGAUCGAUGAGUUGAUUGACCCAGCGUAAUCUAGACCUGCGUAUAAAGCUUGCUGUUUUGAGUCCCGUCUGCCUCGGGAUCCAUUGAUCUCUUUGGAUUUGGAUGCUUUUACCAUUUCCAACUCGCCAAAUUAGCCCCUUCUUUAAAAGCUCAAGGCCAAAUUCAACCCCCCUCCAUGAUUGUGACGCGUCUGAGGCGAAUACCGUGUCCAGAAGUUCACCAUUAGGGUAGUACUUUGAUUUCAAUACCUUCGCACAUAAGCUGUCAGGCUUCUGGAGUAAUCUCCAUCCCUGUCCACGCAGAAGGGCCUGAUUAAACAUGUGCAUGUCUCCGAACCCAAUCCCUCCUCCUCGCUUUGGUUUUGUCAACUUGUCCCAUGCCAUCCAGUGCACUUUGUGAUGGCCAUCUUCCUGACCCCACCAGAAUUCGCGAAUUAGUCUUUCAUACUUUUCAUAGAAACUUAAAGACAUUUUGAACACACCCAUGGUAAAGGUGGGAAGUGCUUGAAGUUCUGAUUUCACAUGCACAUCCUUCGCAGCAAAGGACACGUGCCUCCCUGCCCAGUUACCACAUCUUUUCAAAAACCUAUCCAUUAUGGGCUCAAACUUUUCGUCCUUCAUUCUGCCUUCUGGUGUGGGGAGACCCAGAUAUUUGCUUUCGAAAGUUGAGCUUUCCACCUCUAGAGCCUCACGGAUGCCAUCCUGUACUGCAUUAGGGCAUUUCUCACUGAAAAGCAAUGAACAUUUGCCUGGACUUAGAAGUUGCCCUGUGCCUCUCUGAAAACUGUUUAGUGCAUGUUUGAUUACUUCUGCUUGCUCAACCGUAGCUUUAAAGAAGAAGAGACUAUCAUCCGCGAAGAGUAGAUUAGAUAUGCCUGGGCUUCCACGUGCUACCUUUAUAGGGGUGAUCCUUCCUUCGAUACACUCCUUAUUCAGGGUGCGGGUUAGGGCCUCGCCAAUUCUGAUCCUGGGAACCACGCCAUCUUAUAUUUACUAAUUGGAGGCACCAUACGAGAUCCCACAUUAAUCCUAAGAAACAAGUGAAAUUGUCCGUUAGAUCUCCCCAAUAUUUGUGUUCAACCGUCAGAUGAAAUAUGUCAAGGAGUCCUUGCCCAAUAUCCCACCCAUGAGUCUAUUCCCAAAAAAAAAUAGCUUGCACGCCGGAUCUCUCCUCCCAUCUCCCCAAUCCUCCUUGCAUGCCAUAUGACGCCCUAAUAGUCCACUAAUUCUGCCCAGGAGGUAGCUUAGAACGCUGCACGAGUUGCAUGUUAACAUGUAAUAUAGUGCCCGGAUUUGGAGAUUGAUCAGCGGAUGCUAGCUAGCUAAUAUUGUAUCCGUGCUGGUCUUCGACGCUAAGCGGAUGCUAGCUAGCUAAUAGCGUAUCGGUGCUGGUCUUCAACGCCGGACGCGGCAAUACGGCACGGUGUACGCCGGAGGCAGUGGCGCAUCCACGAAAAACCCUUGCGUCGUUGUUCUCCAUCAUGUCGUCAACUUUAAUGUUUCACGGGAUGGACGUGCAGCAUGGACUGCACCGCCUUCCACGUAGAACUGCACGCCGGCCUCUCUCAAUAUGAGCGAGCGCGGCCGAAAAUUCGUUUCUGAGCCCGUGCUCAGCUGCACCUGAUAUCUUAGUCAUUCAUUCACAUGUGGAUUCGUGUCCUUAGGCUGUAUUACAUCCAGUAUUCACCCCGUACCCGAUAUAGAAAGGUUGUGGGCCAUCAUCUCAUUUACUGCGUACUCAACGUCACCUACCGGACGGAACAGUCCGCCCCGCACGGUUCUGCUUUUUUUCAGGGUUGUCCUGUUCCAUCUUCACACGACCCCACACGUCCUCUUCUUCCUCCCUCGCAAUGCCAAGCCAUGCUCUUCUCCCCAUGAUCCAGUGCCCUUCUGCGGCCAUGAUCUUGUGAGUUGUGGCCAACGUAGCCUGUAGGGGAGACAAGUCUGGACACAGGUUCUACAAGAGCUACAUAUACAACGUAAGCUAGAUCUGAGUUUUGUCUAAAUAAAUUCUCACGAUAUCGGCCCCAUGCUUUUUUUUUUCACUUGAGUCUCUAUUGUUUUCAUUUGCAUCCUAUUCCUUCAAGUUCCAGGAUUAGUGCAUCAAUGGGCUCACCCGAACUCAGAUCGCCCCAGGUCAAGAGCUCGCCAAUGUCCAGCAAGGGAAUCAACAUGCUCAGCUUCUGCCUUCUGCUAACCAGCCGCUUGUCCAUCCUGCGCCAGUCGAUCAGGUCGGCCUGCCAGUUUCAGAAAAAAGCCAUCGCCAUUAUAAUAACGGUGACAAAUCUUUUUCUCACCAUUCUUGUCUUGUGUUUCGUUGUCAUGUACUUUGGGCCCGCUCAGUAGUGGUAGUAUCUGCACUUCUUUCCUGUGUGAGUUGUAGGGAAGGAAAAAUUUAAAGUACAUGCAUCCUGGCUGUACCCUGUUUCGGCCAUGUGUAAUGGAUUCAACUGUAAUCCUAUUUUGAGUAAUAAAUAUUCAGUGCAAUCUAAUUCCCCCUUGUCAAUGUAAUCUGAUUAUUUUGGUGAUGUUAUCCUUCUCGUCCAGUUUGCAGUUUACUCAUCAUUUUGUCAUGUGUGCUUUAUAAAGAUCCGAGUACUCUUUUCCAACUUCCAUUUGUUCAUAACCCUGCUCAUUUCUACAAUAGCUUCCCCUAAUAGAUGCUCUCUUUUAACUCAUUCUGUAGUCGCCACCUCCCGCGACCAUAUAACUUGCUCCUCGCUCUUGCUUCCCAUAUACUUUGUAACCUUGCAAUUCAACAUGCAAAUCUUUCUUUCCUUACCAAAGGAGAUGAAGCUCCCAACUUCGUCGUCGGAAACCGGUACUCCUGCCAUUUAUCAUAGUUUCACCAGCCAUACAACCUCAACCAUGCAUCUUCCAAAGCCAACUGCAUAAAACCUCAAAACUAACCACACCAGCAGGUUCAAUACAUAGAAGCAUUUAUCAGAACACCACAGUUUUCAAACAAGAAACACCAAAACUCCCAGGACCCUAAACAAGGGAAGCUAGUGUUUUCCAUGUACCAGGGCAUCAAAGUCCUGGAAUGGCAGGUGCCAAUCCACAGUUUUUAGUCAUAGAAGACAUCCACCACAAUGACCACCAUGACAAGCAUUUCUUCAAACAUGACUAUGUUUUCAUAUGGCCAAUGCAGCAUACCCUGACUCCAUUACCAUCAAACCGCACAGCAAGAAAACAUUUGCAUUGUUUAAACAGAGACCUGACGCCCCCCAGCAACAAGUUUCAUGGAAAUGCUGCGACUUCAAUAUUCGACGAGUACUUUAGGUCCGACAUUACAAAUUCAAAUCCGUUGUCCCGAUUACGGUACCCACAUUUGGGUUUACAGAUUCACAGGUGGCAAACCAAAAGUGACAAACUACAACGAGAACACACGCACAGCAGGGUCAAAUGAUAGGUCCACCCUGCAACUAUUCUGAACCACGCUUCAUUCCCUCAGUCCACAAUUUCGAAGUACAGGAAAGUUGGCAUGUCAGCCUAGUCCCCCCUCACAGUCACGAUCUCAUAUGCGAGACUUCUUUGCAGGUGAUCAAAUAAUAUCUGCGCACACAAACAAGAUCACACAUUAGUGAUUAAAUGAGAUGUCUGAUUCCUUUACCCUACUGAAUCAAGACCUCGGGUAAAGCCCAUUGAUCUCACAGAUGUAGUGUACAAUGCAAACACCACUCUCCUCGAUGCCAACAGGCCAUUAGUCCAACUACAUUACCAAAAAAUUGCUAUUUUUGCUUCAUGAAGUGUACCAGAAACAUAAACUGCAAUUCAUUUUUUACAAAAUCAUUAUGUCAAUGUGAGGCAUCCAAAAGGAAUCACCACCUGUUAAAUCUCAUAGUUACCUUCUUUAGCCACUCAAUCUUGUAACCCAUUAGCUUGGAUUACAUCAUCUUACGUAUGAAAUCCUAGUCAACUUCAUUAUCUGGUUUGCAAAGUUCUUCCUGCAGUUCAUACACCUAAAUCAACUGUUAUUUAGAGACAUACCCACCAUAAAUCAUCUGUUGAUGUGAGAGGUACUUACCACAAAAAGCGGAUCAAAAAUCCCCCUCCAUCUUGCUAGCCAGCCACGGUACAUCUUCAUUUCUUUCACGCCCAACAUUUGAUGGAUGCCCCGCCAGCCAGUCACUGUAAUCUCACCGACUGUUCUCCGCCUCUGGCUUCCCCUGCACAACAACAUCCAGAUAAUGUAACAUAUGUUUCUCCCAUCGGCACUAAACCACUGCCAUUGUAAAGAAAAAUUCAGAAUAAAAGUAAAGCUCGCCAAACAGCCACACACGAUCUUCUUACAUCAACUUGGUCCAAUGGGUGUUCAACCAGCUCUCCCAUACGGUAUGCCAAAGUCACCUCCAGAGAGUACAAGUUGUAGAAGUCAUCCGUCUCACCCAAAGAGUCAAAAACUCAAACCAAGCUCUGCUUUCACCACACUCUUAGUAGGUUCUUUGGCAAAUUUGCGGAUAGAUUUUUCAAGCGCACUUACAUGUGAGGCACGCGGCAUCUGGUCGGGUGGUGCACUACCCAAAUGCGGCCUCAAUUACCCAGAAGAUACUUUCAACUUUUCACAGUCCUCCAAAAUCUAAUAAAGCACCUACCAAUACACCAUCCUGAUUCCCUAAACAGACUGGCACACGAGCCCAACAGGUGGGAUAAAUCCUAAAAUGGAUUAUCCAAACUAAAACUGAAGAUUUUAGGAGCAUAGCAAAAGGAUGAGCAGUUGGGCACAGACAACUGAAUUCUAAAAAAUAAAAAAAAUCGGCUCGCAUUACCUCUUCGUCAGGCGCUUAGGGAUUCACCUUCCCGUUGGAUUGUGUGGACCCAGUCGGGGAAGCAUUCUUCCUCCGGCGAAGCUCGCCUCCAGACCGGCCUGGGCUGCACCCACCUAUUUGUUGUGCACGGCCGGAGCCUGGAUCCGCAAUUGGAAUCCGGAGGCAAGGCCGGCGCUUCCUCACGCGGCGGCAGCAACACAAUUGGCACCGGAUUAGGGUGGUCCAAGCUGUCCGUGAACCCUUCCCUAAGCGGGGACCUGAAACCCACGCUGGAGUGAGCGAUUACAACGGGGACUCCGGGAAUCAACGGAAGCAGAUCAUGAGACGAGCAAUGGUGUGGAAAAACUCACCGAUUAACUAGAUCUAGUAGGAACUCCAGCAGGUCCUCUUCCAUUGCCGCUCCGCCACAAGGGGUCGCAGCCACCACAAACGCCAUUCCCACGAGUUACCUCACCCAGUUCUCGUUCUCGCUACUAGUCAUAUUUUUUUUUGAGAAAUCGUUCUCGCUACUAGUCAAACCCCUUCUCCUAAAUCUGAGCCGCCGCAGACUAUUGGGCGACGUCAUAAGCCCACGGCUCAUAACCCAACCCCUAACGGACCGAGGCGGCCAGCUACGAAAAUGGCCCACCUCUAGCCACUGUGCCAAGCCGUAUAUAGAGCGUAUCUUUAUUUUCCCCAGCUCAAGCCCUGACGCAUCUGACAACCUUUCCCACAUCCCAACGAACCUAGCAGCGGCUCAGAUUUCAGGUGCAGAUAAGCCCGAGCACCAAAACGCCCUGUCCCGAGCGCGGCAUCAUGAUGUGAGUGUCAGAUUAGGCGGCCUCCUGUCAGAACUGCAUGCGUGGAUGCGUCUGCACGGCGUGGAUGCACGCACAUGACCUGCUUGAUGGAAGCGCACGCACACGACUUGGCUUGAUUUGUUAGACACAUAAGCACACGAUGUGGAUUUGGGCUGGGCUGCUGGAUUGAUUCCAUGCAAAGCUAGCUAGCUUUCGAUCGGCCGGAAACACCGUACGUGCUACAGCCCGCUAGCUACCUAUCGAUCAGCGAGAAACAUGUGUAGAUACUACAGCCAACUGGCCUCAUAGAUUGCUUUUGUCCGGCGGCAAGACGCACAUGUGCCACGCAAGUUACAUAUGAGAUGACGAGAUACUGGGCAGCACGCCGGCGCCUGCCGGGACGCCCGGACGGACGAGAUGUCUGUAGAAAUCGAUAGGAGGAAGCGUAUAACCCUCGUUGGAGGGCCGCGUGUAUUUAUAGAUUGAUGGGGCUUAUCCCAUAGACGCAUACAUUGUUUGAAUUACAUUCUUGGAGUACAAGAGAAGUAAAGAUAGAACCUAUCUAUUCAACUACCUGCAGAAAAUAGAAACAGAAUAGAGAGAGAUACAAUGCGCUAGAGAUAUAGUCGAGAAUAUUAUCUUCAACACGCCCCCAUAAUCACAACUUGGCCAAGUUGAGAUUACGCUUGAAUUCUUCAAAACUCCGUGUAGGUAAAGCUUUUGUGAAGCCAUCUGCAACUUGAUCCUUUGAAUGAAUAAACCGAAUGUCCAACUUCUUGUUAGCAACCCGUUCUCUAACAAAAUGAAAAUCUAUCUCAAUGUGUUUGGUUCUGGCAUGAAAGACAGGAUUUGCAGAAAGGUAUGUGGCUCCCAAAUUAUCACACCAAAGACAGGGAACUUGCGCCUGUGACACUCCAAGUUCCUUUAACAUGGACUGUACCCAAAUGAUUUCUGCCGUAGCAUUAGCUAGAGCUUUAUACUCAACCUCUGUACUAGACCGAGAAACUGUGACUUGUUUCUUAGCACACCAUGAUAUUAAAUUUGGACCAAAAAAUAUGGCAAAGCCACCUGUUGACCUUCUAUCAUCUGGGUCUCCAGCCCAAUCAGCAUCAGUGAAAGCACUAAUAAGGGUAGACUGAGAUCUGCUGAAUGUUAAACCAACAUUUACUGUGUUCUUCACAUACCUCAGAAUACGUUUUGCAGCAGACCAGUGUAAUGUGGUAGGUGCAUGUAGAAACUGACAAACUUUGUUCACAGCAAAAGAAAUAUCAGGUCUAGUAAGAGUUAAAUACUGAAGUGCACCAAUCAUACUCCUGUACUGAGUGCCAUCUUCCAGACUUAGGAGUUCUCCUUCAUGCAAGGAUAGUUUUUCUGAACUAGAUAACGGAGUUGGAGAGGGUUUGCAAUUCUGCAUGCCAACUCUUUUCAAAAGAUCAGUUGCAUAUUUUUCUUGCGAGAGGACUAUACCAUUAUCAGUUUGCUUGACUUCAAUUCCCAAGAAGAAGCUCAGAUCUCCCAAGUCCUUGAGAGCAAACUCCGAGCCCAAGUCCUUCAGAAGUGCUGUCACUGCUUCACUAGACGAGCUGGUGACAAUAAUAUCAUCAACGUAUAUAAGCAUGAACAUUGUGAUAUUAGACCUAUUGUAAAUAAACAAUGAGGUAUCCGACUUGGAUGGAACAAAACCAAUAUUUUGCAAUUUUGCACUCAACCGUGAGUACCACGCCCUUGGGGCCUGCUUCAGACCAUACAGAGCUUUAUCAAGCUUGCACACAUGGAAAGGUGCAUGCUUGUUUUCAAACCCAGGUGGUUGUUUCAUGUAAACCUCCUCUUCCAGAAUACCAUGUAAAAACGCAUUCUGUACGUCCAACUGCCUCAAGCACCAAUUUCUGGAAACAGCAAUAGAUAACACAAGCCUGAUAGUAGCAGCCUUAACAACAGGACUAAACGUGUCCUCAUAAUCUAUCCCAUAUCUUUGUUUGAAGCCUUUAGCUACUAGCCUAGCCUUAUACCGAUCAAUAGUGCCAUCAGCCUUUCUUUUAACUUUGUAUACCCAUUUGCAAUCUAUCAAAUUUUUACCUUGACCCGGUGGAACCAAGUGCCAAGUCUCAUUCUUUCUCAAAGCCUUGUAUUCUUCUUCCAUGGCUUUUCUCCACUUAGCAUCAUCCAGUGCCUCUUCAACAGAAUGUGGUACAUCUGUAGAACAAGUUAGCCCAAAUUUAAGAAUAUUUUUGUAAUUAACAGGGUUAAUUUUCCCUGUUUGUAGACGUGUACCAACGCGUGUAGAACGCGCUACAGGAGUUUGUGCUGCAGAAGAUCCGCCCGAUCCGCCUGAGCGUGCAGGACUGGUAAGGGCAGACCCCGAGGGCGAUCCGCCGUCAGGUACACCAGGCGCGCCGGGCGAAUCAGCGCUGGCCCGGUCGUUGUCAUGGGCCCGACCGCGGUUGGGGGCCCGGUCGCUGUCAGCGGCCCGCUGGAUCACGCUGCGUGUGGCGGGUGAUGAUUGGCCCGAAGGUGGGUCCGUGCGUGGUCCACGCGCACUGGACGGCGCGUCCGUGGCCCGCCUCGUGGGAGAGGCGCUGUCGCUGCGGUGCGCGCGUGAUUCCGAGGUAGCCUGCCGCUGCAGGCGAUCCUCCUGGGAUCUGGAGCCCGCUGAUCCCGACGCAGGUGAAUCCUCCUCGUGUCCAGCGCCCAUGUCCAGCUCUGCUGCAUGAAAUAUUGGCUGUUGUACAGCUUCGUUUUCAGCAGUUUGUGCACCGUUUUCUGUACCACAAAAACCUGUAUCAUCUGCAUCACCAGGAGACUGUGUUGUAUGGUUAUGAGGAUUAGUCAUGCGAUCAUCAAAAAUAUCAUUACCCCCUUGAUCUAAGCCGGAAAGAGAACUAGGAAGAAGAAGGAUUUCUUUUUGUAGGAGGGCUCCGGCAUUGGGAUGGUGAUCUUGGAACGGAAAAACGGACUCAUCAAACACCACAUCCCUGGAUAUGUAAACCCUUCCAGUUUGCACAUCUAAGCACUUGACUCCUUUAUGUUGUGGACUAUAACCAAUGAACACACAUUGUUUGGAGCGAAAAGAAAGUUUUCUGGUGUUGUAGGGUCGAAGAUUGGGCCAACAUGCACACCCAAAAACUCGGACAGAUGCAUAGUUUGGUUUGGUUUGAAAAAGCCGUUCUGUAGGUGUUUGGUAAUUGAUGACACGGCUUGGAAGGAUAUUAAUGAGAUGUGUGGCAGUGAGGAAAGCUUCGUCCCAGAAUUUUAAUGGCAUGGAAGCAUUUGCAAGUAGAGAAAGACCAACUUCAACAAUAUGGCGAUGCUUGCGUUCAGCAGAGCCAUUCUGUUGGUGUGCGUGGGGACAAGAAACAUGAUGGGAGAUUCCCAGUUUUUGGAAGAAGGAGUUGAGUUUCUCGUACUCGCCACCCCAGUCCGAUUGGACUGUAAUGAUUUUGCUAUCAAACUUUCGUUCAACAAGUGCUUGAAAAUUUUGGAAAACUUGAAACACAUCGGACUUAUGUUUAAUAAGAUAAAUCCAUGUAUACUUGCUAUAAUCAUCAAUGAAGCUUACAUAGUAUUUGUGUCGACCAACAGAAGUGGGUGCUUGCCCCCAUACAUCAGAAAAAAUGAGCUCUAAUGGUUUGGAAGAAACACUAGUCGAUACUGGAUAUGGGAGUUGAUGACUUUUUGCUUUCUGACAUGAAUCACACACUGUUUCACUACUAAGCUCACCAACAAAAGGGAGUUUAUUUUUUCUAAGCACUCGUUGAACAAUAGCAAAAGAAGGAUGUCCUAAUCGAUCGUGCCACCUUGCCGAAGAUAAUUGGGUGACACCAAAAACUUGUUUAUUUGAGCUCCUAAGGCGAGGGAUCAAUGGAUAGAGCCCUCCAACGCAUCUACCUCUGUAGAGCACCUUCCUCGUUGCCAGAUCCUUAAUCAAAAAGAAGAAGGGGUAAAACUCAAGUAAUACAUGAUUGUCUAGAGCAAUGCGAUGUACAGAAAGAAGGUUUUUUUUAGCACUGGGAGCAUGAAGGAUAUUUUUAAGAUGAAUAGGACGGCUAGGGGUUUUGAUAAUUGAUUGACCAACAUGAUUUAUUCUCAUACCUGAUCCAUCUGGACCAUGGAUUUGGUCAUGGCCGCGAUACUUCUCACGAGUUGUCAACUUCUCCAACUCUCCUGUGAGGUGGUUAUCUGCGCCGCUGUCGACGUACCAGUUUGUGUCAACGCCAUACUGGGCCGCAGCAGCAACCUUUUCUUCUUGAGCGUCAUCGUCGAAGCGGUACCAGCAGUCCCUUGCGCUGUGACCGAUCUUGCCACAGAUCUGGCACUGGAUCGGCUCAUUGUUGGCCUUGUUGCCGCUGGACGAGCCACCACCAGGACGAGCACCCUUGUUGUUGUUGUAGAAGGGGCGCCCUCCGGUGGUCUGCUUCUUCUUGUAGCCACCGUCGCCACCACCUUGCUUCUGUUCUCUCCCCCUGCCAUAGCCACGAGGGGGAGCUCCGCCACGACGGGCAGAGUUUGCAGAAGAUUUGAAGCCCGCAUCAUGGCCUCAUGUGAGCAGCUCGACUCGCUGAUCGAAGUUGCACACCUGGGAAUAGAGUGCAUCGACAGUGACCGGCUCCGUGCGCGCAUCUAGGGCCGAGACCAGAGGGUUGUAGUCGAGGUCCAGCCCUGCCAGCAGGAAAGAAACGAGUUCGUCCUCAUCCAGUGGCUUCCCCGCGGCAGCGAGCUCAUCAGCAUAUCCACGCAUCCGGGAGAAGUACACCGGUGCAGAUUGGUUGCCCUUUUUGGCAUUGGACAGGGAGAUCCGAAGAUUAUUAAUACGUGAGCGUGAUUGAGAAGCAAACAUAUUACCCAAUGAUGUCCAGAGUGCUCGUGCCGUCCUGAUGGAGACGACCGAGACUAGCACCUCCUUUGACAGGUUGUUCAUGAGGUGCCCGAGGACCUGCUGGUCCUGACGCAUCCAGGCUUCAUACGCCGGGUUGAUGAUGACUUGGUCCUUGCCCUCCUUGUCCUUCACGGUGAGCAUCUUCUCUGGUUCGGCAAUGGUGCCGUCCAGAUAGCCGUAAAGGCCCGCCCCGAGGAAGUGCGGCAGGAUCUGCGCCUUCCACAGGAGAUAGUUCUCACGGGUGAGCUUCUCUGUGACCUGGGAUCCGAGGCCAGAGAGAGUUGGGGUGGAGGAGGAGGACGACAUGGUUUUUCUGUGGAGAGAUCGAUCUAGGCUUCUGUGGUUUUAGGACGAGAAGGAAGAGGAUGCUCUGAUUACCAUGUAGAAAUCGAUAGGAGGAAGCGUAUAACCCUCGUUGGAGGGCCGCGUGUAUUUAUAGAUUGAUGGGGCUUAUCCCAUAGACGCAUACAUUGUUUGAAUUACAUUCUUGGAGUACAAGAGAAGUAAAGAUAGAACCUAUCUAUUCAACUACCUACAGAAGAUAGAAACAGAAUAGAGAGAGAUACAAUGCGCUAGAGAUAUAGUCGAGAAUAUUAUCUUCAACAAUGUCGGCACGGCCUCGGACAUGCUCAUGGUGCAGUGCAAGCAGCCUUGCAAAUUUAGAGUAUGGUAUUUACUUUCUCAUCUUAGAUUCCUGUCAUAUGUACGUUCUCAUCUUGGAUUCUUUUUUUCCCCGCAAAAAAAAUGCAUGUAUAGAAUAGAUGUAUAUCUACAAUAUGAAGAAAAAGAAUUACUUGCAGCUGGGCUGCCACAUGUGUAAGAAUGUGAAUGCUGAGUAGUGUUCACCGUUGCAUACUAGAACACAAUUUUGGUAUUUUUGUAGCUGCUUGAUUUUCCCAUCAUAAAAAGAAGAGAAAGCGAACAAAUGUUCAAGUCGGGUAUAUGCAUUGAUGUGUGUGAUAUGCAAUGAAAAAAUAUUAUAUUUUCUUUUUCAAUGGUUGACAUAUUAUUUUGAGAAAAAACAACAAUUAUACAAUAAGUGACGUGGCCAGCAGAAAGCAGGGCAAUGUCAAAUAUUUUUUAAAUUGUAGAUGCUAGAGGAACAAACUCGCCUGAUAUAAAAAAAUCACACAAUAAAGUUUUCAUGACCCUGUACUUGAUUUGAAUUGUUUGUAUGUUAGUUUUGUCUAAUAACUUUUGUUCAAGUAGGGAAAAAUGAUUACUGACUAUAACAUCAAUUUCGGCCAACAAACUGACACAUGCAUGUCUUGGGUUUCAUAUAUUAUAAGUUUGAUCUGUAGCUCAAUAGUUAAUCCCAUGCUUCAUCCUUUUUUUUAUCACGGAACAACGAGUCCAUUAUAAUUAUAUAAUCUUUUUUUCCUUUCGGGGAAAAACUAUCAGAAUUGUGCAGCAGUACUAGAAAGUGCAGGUUUAUAUGCAACAUGGCCGACAUGUUUCAAUUUUGGUAUUACAAGCAGUAGUUUCCGUUCUAUCAUCCCCAGGCUGUAGUUUUUUUUUUGUUUCUUUCAGUCAUCCAGCAUUGCUAGGAGAAAAGUGAGCUACUUGAAUGAAUGAAUUCUAUGAAUCCCUAAACUAUGUACUAUUUUGUUUACGGGUAUAAUCAAUUCCGUUGAUGUACUUUGCGAAGAGCUGAGGUUUUCGUUUCAUGUCUACCUGGGAAAGGGUGGAAAGUACAACAGGUCAAAGCCUCAAAUAUAAUGUUAAUCUACUAGAAUUAUGAAUUUAUAAAUAGGUAAUCCGCCAAUGAAAUUAUGUAGAAAAAUCGUUUAUAUACAGUACCUAUUGUCAACUAAAUUUAGUCAGUUUCCUUCAAUGCAUCUCAAUACGACAAUGGUCCUGCUAUGAAUAUUAAUUUUAACUAGCGUAACUAUAAUAGGUCUCAUCUAUAUGUUAUAUACUUCCAGAAAUAUGUCCAUGGUUGAUUAUUCAUAUCUACUUACUUAUUUCUAAAUCUUAUUUUAGUUUGUAGAAACUACAUAACAUUUUUGCACAAUACUUGAUAAGUAAAAUAUAGCACAUAACAAAGUUGUUUGUUGUUUGUUGACCUUGAUGACCUGGCAUCUUCCAUUUAUGGCAGUGUUCAAAUACAAGUAUAGUUUAUCACAUUGCUACAAUUAUAUUUGUCUAUAUAUACCUUUGAUUCUGCCUAGACAAGCUUAUGUACAUAAACAUCCGAUCUAUUAGUAAACCCAAAAUGAUUAUUAAGCCUUGGUUCGGCAUUGGUGGUGGAAUGUCAUGCUCCCAUUUACCCAGCCACUUUUGUCUAUUUAGUGUUUGUUCGACCCAUUCUUUUCGUCCUUUCUUUGUUAGUUUCCCAUGGUCAAUUACAAAAUAACUACAUCACAACACAAUUUAUCAAAGGCAAACCGAGCCUAACCAAACACAACAAUGCGUCAAAUUCUUUGCAUGCAUUUAUGGCAUAAUUUUAAAAGGUUUAAGGGAUAUUACUUAUGUUUGCUAUAUAUGAUGAAACUUAUUACAUAAUAUUAAGAAUUUUGAGUACACAUAAUUUUAUUUGUUAAUAUUUCACGUCCCAAAAAAUACAAGUACCAUCAAUGUUUUUCGUGAACUCUUAAAUAUAACUAUGUAUGUUGCUAGCCCGUGCAGAUGCACGGGUUGCUGACUAGUAUAGAUAGUUCAUAUUGAACAACAUAUAGCUCUCCAGAGCAUCUAGUUAAACCAUACAUUGAAACUAUGUAAAUCCUUUCAAUGCAACAACAAAUGCGAUCAUAAUCACAACCAAGGUAACAAUUGAUCCAACAACAUAAUGAUACCAAGCCUCGGUAUGAAUGGCAUAUUUUCUAAUCUUUCUAAUCUUCAACCGCAUUGCAUCCAUCUUGAUCUUGUGAUCAUCGACAACAUCCGCAACAUGCAACUCCAAUAUCAUCUUCUCCUCCUCAAUUUUUUUCCUUCAAGUAAUUGUUUUCUUCUUCAACUAAAUUUAACCUCUUGACAAUAGGUGUUGGUGUCAAAACCGGCGGAUCUCGGGUAGGGGGUCCCGAACUGUGCGUCUAGGUGGAUGGUAACAGGAGACAAGGGACACGAUGUGUUUACCUAGGUUCGGGCCCUCUCGAUGGAGGUAAAACCCUACUCCUGCUUGAUUAAUAUUGAUGAUAUGGGUAGUACAAGAGUGGAUCUACCGCGAGAUCAGAGAGGCUAAACCCUAGAAGCUAGCCUAUGGUAUGAUUGUUGUUUGUCCUACGGACUAAAACCCUCCGGUUUAUAUAGGCUCCGGAGAGGGUUAGGGUUACAGAGAGUCGGUUACAAUGGUAGGAGAUCUACAUAUCCGUAUCGCCAAGCUUGCCUUCCACGCCAAGGAAAGAUCCAUCCGGACACGGGACGAAGUCUUCAAUCUUGUAUCUUCAUAGUCCAGGAGUCCGGCCAAAGGUGAUAGUUCGGCUAUCCGGACACCCCCUAAUCCGGGACUCCCUUAGUAGCCCCCGAACCAGGCUUCAAUGACGAUGAGUCCGGCGCGUUGAUUGUCUUCGGCAUUGCAAGGCGGGUUCUUCUCCAAAUCAUGUGUACCUGUUGAAUAGUGUCCGGCUUCUCGUAAAUAUUGCGCUCCUCGGCUUCCAUGCCCAAUAAUGGCCAUCUUCCAUGUGUUGAAUGAAUGCGAAAAGCCAGGGUAUUUUUACAUUUACCCCCCUAGCUGUGCAAAUGAGCCGCCUAUAAAAGAGACGAGGAUCUAGAUCCGAAUCACACCAUCCUCCCUCCGCGAGCAUUCAUCGGAGCGCCUCUGACAAAAAUCCAUUCCAUCAUGGACAGCCGACGCAGCUCCUCCUCUCGCGCUCCCAGCCCUCAGCCUGGAGAUUGGGAGAGAUGCUCAGUCCCGCAUAGCGAGCUAGUGACGCUCCAAACCAAGGGAUUUCUUCCCCCAGCCUUCAUGGUUCCGGUUCGAGCCGGACUCGCCACCUAUAAGGGCGGAAAGCAAGCGGAGAGCGUCCCCGAUCCCUCCAAAGGAGAGCGGUUAUGCUUCGUCUCUUAUCUGAUAAGAGGGCUCGAAUUUCCAAUUCAUCCGUUUCUCCAGGGGCUCCUGGAGUUCUACGGCCUCCAGUUGCACAACCUUACGCCGGCCUCCAUUUUGCACAUUGCGGGCUUCGUGGCCCUUUGCGAGUUGUUUUUGGGCAUCGAGGCUCAUUUCGCGCUGUGGAAGAGGUUGUUCUGCCUUGUACCCCGUUCUCACGAGGGGUCAAUAUAUCAAGUGGGCGGAGCCGAACUAUGGCGCAUCGCCGGGACCGGAUAUCUAUCCGGAACCCCGAAGAAGGCGUCCGAAGAUUGGCCUUCAGAAUGGUUUUAUAUGGAAGACGUCCCGCUGCCGGAUCCUGUUCGGAUCGGCCUCCCGGAGUUCAGUAAUGCUCCCUUGAAGAAACGCCUAAGUUGGCGUCCGCGGAGCCCCCAGAGGGAAAAUGACAGGGACGUCAUUUACCUGAUGAGCCGAAUAAGGUUGUUAGCUCAUUCCGGACUGACCAUGAUCAGGGUCAUGGCCACAUGCAUUAUGCGGGGGUGCAACCGCUCUAGUAUAGGGGCCACCCCAUGUGGGAUUUCAACGGGGAGGAUGAUGCCACCCGUCAUGGCCGUAAGGGGCCGGGAUCGGUCGCCAAUCUGGUGAAGAUCUUGUCCGUGUUGUACAAGGGAGAAGAGGAGGAUUUUCUCCGCGUCAGUCCAUUGAACAGAUUUUCUAUGAACAAUCCUCCAAGCUGGGUAAGUGGACAUUUCUUUUUGCCCAUCCGAUCCAUAUUCCCAUGGUUAAGUAUCUCAUUUUGUGAUUUCGACGCAGGAACUGCGCCGGGCCGUAAAAGAUAUAAACAGCCCGCCUCCACAACCCGAGGAUCCGGAACGGUCCCUCGAUCCGGCUUCCCAAGAGGAUCCGGACAUAUUGGUGGAGCUGAUUGACGGGGUAUUUCACCAACUGAGCAUCGAUAAUGCCUUGGUCGCCAUUACGGCCGAUUACCCCGGAAUACUUCCAGCCUCACAGGUAACUGAGACCGAAGCCCCAAUACUUUGAUAAUGAUCCAUCCGUGCUUAUUUUUGAUCACAGUAUACUAAUGGUGUUUCGCAGGAGGUGCCUUUGAGGCGGAAGGCCGAGCCCACGGCGGCUAGCCAACAAGGGGCAGCACGGCCCAGCAGGCUAAAAAGAAGUGCGGUCGGAUAGAAACGCCGCCGCAAUGGUAUGGCGUACCACCAUAUUCCCAGGUUUGAUUCCUGGAAGGCAUACUAACGCUUGUGUUCUCUUCAGGAAAAAGAGCGCUCGCCGGACUGUGUCCAGAGAGGUUGCCAAUCGAGGCUCCGCCAGCCAGGCUCCAAAGCCAGGUCCAGAAGCGGAGGCGAGCACGAAGCGUGCGUCGGAUGCUCCUCCGAAAGAGGAUGCCGAUAGAUUGUCCGCCACCAACUCCGAGGUGGAGAGUGCCAUGAAUCACAGGCGCCGCCGGACAGUUCUUCGUGACACAGGUUUCUCCCAAGAGGCAUUGAAUGCCUUCAAUUCGGGAGAUGUGCACCUCCGUGCCGCUCAAGAUGGUCUAGCCAGAGCCACGGAGCAGUAUGUAAAAACAUACGGGUGAGGAAGUUUGACAUUUAUAUAUGCCAGUAGCCCACGAGACUUAAAAUAGUUAGAAUAACUGAUUUAAGGAUCAUUUGUUAUGCAGGAUCUUACAGAAAAGAAUACCCGACGGUCCCAGGAGCUUGAAGAGUGCAAGGCCCAACUUGAGGCUGCACUAGCCGCGAUAGGGGAAGCCACGGAGACCCCCUCUGGUAAUAUAUGCUUCAAAAGAUAAGUAGUUUGUGAAGUGCGGCGUGUGUAUAAGUCUGACAAUAACAUUGCAGAUGGCGCCGGGAUAGAUUCGGACAAGCAACAGCUCUUGCGCCGGUUAAAGGCUGGCGAGAAUGUCCUUACAAGGGUGAGGCAAGAGAAAAAUAAUCUCCAAGAUGCCAACACCUGGCUAGGCGAGGAACUAAAGGAUGUUCGUGCCCAGCUGUCUGACUCCGUUAAGGAGAAACGGCGGCUUCGACGCGGCAUUUUUAUUAAGUGCUUGAAUGAACUUUGAAAAGGAGUUCGGCGAGGAAGUCGACUAACAGAGUUAUGUCUGUAGGUAUGCUCACAGGUCGUCCUGCAGAGAAAAUGCCCGGUUCUACCAGUGACCUUCUUCCCGAGCUGCUGCAACUGCACGAACGAGUUCGGCAGGUGAUGAAAGGCGUCGCCCAGGCCUUGUGGCCAUCUAUCUCCCUACCCGAAGGCCUUGGAGAGCUUGCAGAGAGGCUUCAGAGAGCACGGCGGCGCUUCCGAUUAUGGAAGACAUCGGCCUGCCGUCAAGGCGCCAGAGAGGCCUGGGCCAUGGUGAAGACGCGGUACACGAAGGCUGACCCAAACCACAUGGCCGAGGUCGGAUCUAUGGGGCCCGAUGGGAAGGAGAUCCCUGUGAGCUUAGUGUACGGCCAAGUAGAAUUGGCCGCAAAGUAUUCCCAACAGGACUGUAAACUAAACAGCCUAUUAGAUGGCAUUAAAGAGGAAUACAAUCAGUCAAGUUGACUAUGUAAUUUUAAAAUGACAUGUAAAAUGCCUUCUAGCCGGAUUGUAGAUCGUUUGUCAUAGCGGACCUUUUCGCUUGAACCUCGGGACCCAAUAGUCCGGAGUGUGUCGGAAUACCCUCGCGGUUAUAUAAAAAGCGGGGCAUGCGCGGAGACCAGGCGUAGGGGUCAUUAGUGCUUUAUCACACAACUGCCCAACUAGUUAUGUUAUAUUACAUGGUUAGUAAGAAACGUCUUCCAGGGAGAAUAGUUCCGUUAGGGUUCCUUUCCCUGGGAGGAAUGCCCUAAAGUGCAUAUCCGGACUGCGAAAAAAGCAGAAAAACAUCUGGGCGCAGAUAAAUAAAUAGGUAAGAAAUCAUCUUUUAGUUCACCGACCGAAUAUUCCCUUAAGAACGCUAGCUUUCGGCUUCACCCAGUCUGAGGUACACGUCCAGCUGACCCGGCCGUAACAAUCACAGAGGUGCUCCCUUUACCACCUAGCCAAACAAUCGGGAACGUAGGGGUAAGCACAGGAGCUAGGCAACCCAGCUUGGCCAAAACUUAAGUCAUAUCGAUGCAUAUAAUGGCGAAUAAAAGAUACAUGCGGAAGUGUGAUACAUGUGUUGGGCAUGAAGCCCGUAUAAAUAAGCUUCUUUUAAAGAAGCCCCCAGGUAUAAUGAGCGCGGAUAGCGCGUCAAGUGUGUGCGAACAAUGCGCAAACGAGCCUUCAAAGGCUUGCAAGAAAAAGGAGGGAGAAGGAGAGAAAUAAAAUACAGCUAAUGUAUAAAAUAUAGACGGAGGAGGGAGACGAACUCGGAAUCCGGCGCUAUGCGUAGAAUCUUCGGAGAUGGGCUGCGUUCCAUGGGUUCGACUCGAGUCGGUUAUCCAAUGCAUUUCGCAGACGGUACGCUCCGCCAGUCAGGACUUGGUCGAUGAUGAAGGGACCUUCCCAUUUGGGCUUGAGUUUGUCCUUUUUCUUGUCCGGCAAGCGUAGAACUAAUUCGCCAAUAUUGUAAGUUUUGGCCCGUACCUCCCUGCUUUGAUAUCUUCGAGCCUGCUGUUGAUAGAAUGCGGAAUGAGUUGUUGCCACGUCGCGCUCCUCCUCCAAGGCGUCCAAACUGUCCUGCCGAUCGAGUUCGGCUUCUCUUUCUUCGUACAUGCGCACGCGAGGUGAGUCAUGAAUUAUGUCGCAGGGCAGAACUGCCUCUGCGCCGUAUACCAUGAAAAAUGGUGUGAAUCCAGUAGUGCGAUUCGGCGUGGUCCGCAGCCCCCAGAGUACGGAGUCGAGCUCCUCUACCCAGUGCAUGUUAGAUUCCUUGAGGGACCACACUAGUCUGGGUUUAAUGCCGCUCAUCAUUAGAUCAUUUGCUUGCUCGACUUGACCGUUAGUUUGAGGGUGAUAGACUGAAGCGUAGUCGAGCUUGAUGCCCAUGUUUUUGCACCAGAGUUUGACCUCGUCGGCCGUGAAGUUCGUGCCGUUAUCAGUGAUGAUGCUAUGGGGGAUUCGGCCGUCUUAACAGGCUUGGCCUCUAUCCAUUUGGUGAAUUUAUCCACCAUGACCAAUAGGUAUUUUUGCUUGUGGGUUCCUCCUUUAAGGGGUCCAACCAUGUCAAGCCCCCAGACCGCGAAUGGUCAGGUGAUGGGUAUAGUUUUGAGGGCGGUGGGUGGCAUGUGGCUUUGAUUAGCAAAGAGCUGGCAACUGACGCAUUGUUGGACUAAGUCCCGAGCAUCUGCCCGGGCCGUCGGCCAAUAAAAUCCUGUACGGAAGGCCUUGCCUACAAGGGCCCGGGCUGCGGCGUGGUGCCCACCGAAUCCGGCAUGAACUUCAGCCAGAAGAUUUCGCCCUUCCUCUUCGGAGAUACACCUUUGAAGGACUCCGGUUGUGCUUUUCUUAUAAAGCUCUCCGUCAUGGACCUUAUAGGCUUUAGAUCGCCGCACUAUGCAGCGGGCCUCGUUUUGGUCCUCGGGAAGUUCCUGCCUGGUUAGAUAGGCUAGGAAUGGUUCCGUCCACGUGGCAAUGAUUGCCAUUAUUACGUGGGCUAAAGAUGUUACUUCGUUGGCAGAACCACCAAUUGUGUCAGAAUGUUCGGUGUCGGGCAGUGCGGUUGGGUCCGGGUUGUUAUUUCCGGAUUCCCCCUCCCAUAGUACGGAUGGCUUGAACAGCCUCUCCAGGAAGAUGUUGGGAGGGACAGAAUCGCGCUUUGUGCCAAUGCGUGCCAAUACGUCUGUUGCCUGGUUAUUAUCCCAGGCUAUAUGGUGAAAUUCGAGCCCUUCGAACCGAGCUGACAUUUUUAGGAUGGCGUUGCGAUAAGCUGCCAUUUUUGGAUCCUUGGCAUCAAAGUCUCCAUUUAUUUGGGAUAUCGCGAGGUUCAAGUCCCCGCGCACCUCUAGGCGUUGAAUGCCCAUUGAGACUGCCAUCCGGAGACCAUGUAGAAGGGCCUCGUAUUCGGCUGCGUUGUUGGAGUCCGUAUACAUUAUCUGGAGUACGUAUUGAACUGUAUCUCUGGUUGGGGACGUUAGAAUGACGCCAGCCCCCAAGCCAGCCAACAUCUUCGAGCCGUCGAAGUGCAUAAUCCAGUUGGAAUAUGCGCCAUACUCUUUAGGGAGUUCGGCUUCAGUCCAUUCGGCGACGAAGUCGGCCAGAACCUGCGACUUAAUAGCUCGCCGUGGCUUAUAGGUUAUGUCGGACGGGAGGAGGUCAAUGGCCCAUUUGGCAAUCCGGCCCGUCGCGUCGCGGUUGUUUAUAAUGUCAUUAAGAGGUACUUCGGAGGCUACUGUUAUCGAACACUCUUGGAAGUAGUGCCGCAGCUUCCGGGAUGCCAUGAACACUGCGUACGCUAUCUUUUGAUAAUGCGGAUACCGUGACUUGCAUGGAGUUAGGACAGUGGACACGUAGUAAACUGGUUUUUGAAGGGGGAACUUGUGUCCGUCCGUUUCUCGUUCGACAACGAGCACCGCACUUACAACUUGGUGAGUUGCCGCGAUAUAUAAUAGCAUUGGUUCAUGUUGGGCGCGGCCAGGACCGGAUUUGUUGCCAAUAUGACUUUUAUUUCUUCGAGUCCGGUCGUGGCGGCAUCCGUCCACUCGAAGUGUUCGGUGCGCCAGAGGAGGCGAUAAAGGGGUAAUGCCUUUUCUCCCAAACGGGAGAUAAAGCGGCUUAGAGCCGCCACACAUCCAGUCAAUUUUUGUAUUUGUUUGAGGUCUUUUCGGAUAUCCAAUUGUGACAGAGCUCGGAUCUUGGCUGGGUUUGCUUCAAUUCCUCUACCGGAUACAAUGAAGCCCAAGAGCUUUCCGGCCGGUACGCCGAAAACGCAUUUUUCCAGGUUGAGCUUAAUGUCAUAUGUUCGGAGAUUAUCGAAUGUGUGCCUCAAGUCGUCUACUAGAGUUUCGACAUGCUUGGAUUUGACGACCACAUCGUCUACGUAAGCCUCCACUGUUUUGCCGAUCUGGUUUGCCAGACAUGUCUGAAUCAUGUGCUGAUAUGUUGCGCCGGUGUUUUUGAGCCCGAAGGGCAUUGUGUUGAAGCAGAAUGGGCCGUAUGGAGUGAUGAAUGCCGUUGCGGCUUGGUCUGGCUCUGCCAUCUUAAUUUGGUGGUAGCCGGAGUAUGCGUCGAGGAAGCACAAUGAGUCGUGUCCUGCGGUAGCGUCGAUAAUUUGAUCGAUGCGGGGGAGGGGAAGGGAUCCUUUGGGCAAGCCUUGUUAACGUCCUUGAAAUCAACACAUAGGCGCUAGGAUUUGUCCUUCUUUGGUACCAUCACCAGGUUUGCUAGCCAGUCCGGAUGUUUUAUAUCUCUGAUGAAUCCGGCCUUCAAUAGUUUGGCUAACUCCUCUCCCAUGGCCUGUCUCUUGGGUUCGGAGAAACGCCGAAGAGCUUGUGACUGGCUUGAAUCCUUUUAGGAUAUUUAGGCUGUGCUCGGCUAGCCGGCGUGGGAUUCCUGGCAUGUCUGAAGGGUGCCAGGCAAAAAUGUCCCAAUUUUUGCGUAGGAGUUCUCGUAGUGCAGCGUCUACAUCAGGGUUUAAUUGUGCCCCGUUGGAGGCCGUUUUUGUAGGGUCCGUUGGAUGGACUUGGAAUUUGACUAUUUCAUGUGCCGGUUUAAAAGAGGUGGACUUGGAUCUCUUAUCGAGUAUCACAUCGUCCCUGUUCAUCGUGGAGCGCUACGCAGUGAGUUCCUCGGCCGCUAGGGCUUCGGAUAGUGCCUCAAGGGCCAGUGCAGCUGUCUUAUUUUCGGCGCGGAGUGCUAUGUCCGGGUCACUAGCAAGAGUGAUAAUUCUGUUGGGCCCGGGCAUUUUGAGCUUCAUGUACCCGUAAUGGGGUAUAGCUUGAAAAAUUGUGAAUGCCUCCCGCCCUAAUAAAGCGUGAUAUCCGCUGCUGAACGGGGCCACAUGGAACGUGACCUCCUCGAACUUGUAAUUAUCCGGCGUGCCGAACACCACAUCCAGUGUGAUUUUUCCUUUACAACAUGCUUCCCGACUGGGGAUUAUUCCUCUAAAGGUUGUGCUACUUCACUCAAUGCGGCUCCAGUCUAUUUCCAUUUUUCAGAGGGUUUCCUUGUAAAUGAGGUUCAAUCCGCUGCCACCGUCCAUGAGUACCUUGGUAAGGCGAAAGUCGUCCACUAUUGGACUAAGGACAAAUGCGGCUGGUGCUCGGGCUGUUCGGAAUUUAGGUUCGUCACUGGCAUUAAAGGUAAUAGCCAUGUCACUCCAUGGGUUUAUUGUUGCUACCUGGUAGACUUCGGCAAGGCUGCGGAGUGUUUGUUUCCGCAUAUUAUUUGAUGCGAAAGUCUCGAAGACUGUUAAUACCAUACUGGUAUUGCUGGGCUGGUGCUCUGAAGCUAGAAGCUCUUCGCCACUUUUGGCCACCUGCCGUAGUAUCCAACAUGCUCUAAGGCUAUGAGUUGGAGUGGCGCCCUCUGUACUAUGAAUUUUGCAGGGUCCAUUGAGACAUCCCUCCAGUACGGUUCCAUGCCCUUUAGAGGGUUUUUGCUUUUUGGUAUUUAACCCAGGUGCCUGGUGAUGAUGCACCCUUUUCUUUCGGACUAAGGUUGUAUUUAACCCAGGUGCCUGGUGACGAUGCACCCUUUUAUAGAAGAAGGGUCGCCGUAUUGUUCCUCUACCACAGCAACGUGGUGGGUAACCUGGGGAGAGUUGAUCUCUCCUAGAUCGGUUUUAGGCCCAAUCUGAUCGUAGUCUGUAGCGACUCCCAGGGCGGCGAUGCGAUCCAAGAGCUCGUUUAAGGAAAAGAGCUCCAUCGGAUCUAACUGCUCGGCGAGUUCCGAGUUAACGUGAAGAUUGCUUUCGAUGACCCGAGAAGUCAUCGUCGGCGCGGCGGCCGAACAGGCGGUCAUAAGAAAACCGCCUAGCCGGAGAGUUUGGCUGGUGGCCAAAGCUCCUUUAGCAAUGGUGCCGUCUUCAAAGACGGGAUGAGGCAUCCUUCUUGAUGGCGACGACGCACAGAGACUCUCAAUGAAAGCACCAAUGUCGGUGUCAAAACCGGCAGAUCUCAGGUAGGGGGUCCCGAACUGUGCGUCUAGGCUGAUGGUAAUAGGAGACAAGGGACACGAUGUUUUUACCCAGGUCCGGGCCCUCUCGAUGGAGAUAAAACCCUACUCCUGCUUGAUUAAUAUUGAUGAUAUGGAUAGUACAAGAGUGGAUCUACCAAGAGAUCAGAGAGGCUAAACCUUAGAAGCUAGCCUAUGGUAUGAUUGUUGUUCGUCCUACGGACUAAACCCUCCGGUUUAUAUAGGCACCAGAGAGGGUUAGGGUUAUACAGAGUCGGUUACAAUGGUAGGAGAUCUACAUAUCCGUAUCGCCAAGCUUUCCUUCCACGCCAAGGAAAGAUCCAUCCGGACACGGGACGAAGUCUUCAAUCUUGUAUCUUCAUAGUCCAGGAGUCCGGCCAAAGGUGAUAGUUUGGCUAUCCGGACACCCCCUAAUCCGGGACUCCCUCAAUAGGGUCGGUUUGAAUUUCCGGUUCAACUACCUCCUAGAUAAAUAAAAUCUGUGUCAACUUGAUGGGCAUAAUUGUCAUAAAAAGUAAAUGAACCAAAUAGUUAUAAAAGAUAAUAUAUACCACAUCUGAAUCAUAGCCAGGACGAGGGCCGACGGGGGCGGAUACCAAAACCAUCGCACUAUAUAAUAACAAGCAAUAAUAAAAUUAAGAAAAUUAGACAAGUAUCUAUUUAAAGUAAGAAUUUUUUUUCUUUCAGAAGAAGAUAAGAACAAGAGGCUCACCACGGUGGUGCCGGCGACGAGAUCGGCGCGGGCGAUCGACGGUGGUGAAGACGGGAAUGGGACGUAACGGACCGCUAAACCUAGACAAAUCUCGGGGAAAAUGGAGCUUGGAGGUCGAGCUUCGAGAGGAGAAAGCUUAACUAGUGUGGCUCGGGCAUUUAAUCGAACACCUCAUGUGUAUAGGAGGUGAGCUAGAGCACCCAAAUGCCCUCCCCUCGCCGGCCAGAAAAAACAGAGCACUGUGGAGUCCUCUGCUGCGGCGACGGGGUAUAUAUAGGCAACUCAUUUAUCCCGGUUCGUGGAUGGAACCGGGACCAAAGCGCAACCUUCUAUCCCGGUUCGAGCGACGAACCAAGACCAAUGGAUGUGGGCAAGGAGCGAGGCCCAUUGGUACCGGUUCGUGCCAGGAACCGGGACAAAUGGGUCCAGACGAACCGGGACCGAUGCCCACGAGGCCCCGGCCAGCCACCUGGGCUCACGAACCGGGAUGUAUGCCCCCCAUGGGUCCCGGUUCGUGACUGAACCGGGACUAAUGGGCUGGUCAAGCCCGAACCAAAGCCCUGUUUUCUACUAGUGAGAGUCGCCUGCUUGGGGAGAGGUGAUGACGAUAACAAGGCAAGCAACCUCGAUGGUGUCCUCUUCUCGGCGGUGUUUGUGGCUUGUUGGUGCUAGGUCGACCGGAUGCCCUUUGUUGUGGGCGUGUUGUAAUGUUUUUCACCAAGGAUUCCGUUAAUUAACCGGGCAACUCUAUUCUAAUAUUUUUAAUGAAUCGGGCCCUAAGGGGCCGCGUUUCAAAAAAGAGCAAGGUUAAUAAUAUAGCCAGCAGCUGGCUUUAUAAGACUGCCAUGUUAUCAAAAGUUAGCAAUCCAUUUGGGUUUGCUGUAAGAUUGGCUAUUGAAUUGGUAUUUUUUACACCUUCUCGCUUUCCCUUUGUUCACAUUUAUUGCAUUUGUUUAGAAGUAAUUAUAUAGCAAGAAUCUUGCAUGAGAGUCGACUUCCUUUACUUUUACAUAAUUCUUUCCUUCACAUAGCCAAAAGUGUCAUGUAAAGAGUGUUAUAAGCCUGCUAUUGUACUUCCUCUAAGAGGUAACCACUAAUUUUGAGGGUGAAGGAACAGUCACCAACUUAGAUAGUAUUAAUAUUUUUUUGUAAUUUAGAAAAUAUUAAGUCUUCAUAUUUUAUUGGCAUCACUCAUGUCUGCAUGAUAUCGGUAUGGGCAUCUUCAAGGCGGACUCGCAAGCCCCCGCAUGCAUUCGGAUCGCGCAGUCCGGACAGCGGAAGCCAUCCAACGAGGGCCUGAAACGGUCUGUGCUGCGGUCUGGAUGCGAUUUCUCCCAUAAACCGGAGACAAACGUGUUUGNNNNNNNNNNNNNNNNNNNNNNNNNNNNNNNNNNNNNNNNNNNNNNNNNNNNNNNNNNNNNNNNNNNNNNNNNNNNNNNNNNNNNNNNNNNNNNNNNNNNNNNNNNNNNNNNNNNNNNNNNNNNNNNNNNNNNNNNNNNNNNNNNNNNNNNNNNNNNNNNNNNNNNNNNNNNNNNNNNNNNNNNNNNNNNNNNNNNNNNNNNNNNNCCAAAAAACCCGACACGCCCCGCCCACACUUUUCUUCUGAUACACGUGCCGCUUAACGCGCCAUAUUGAUGCCGGUCCAGAGCAAUGAUAGGUAGACAUUGAUGUUGCGAUGUGACCGGAGGGCCGGAGGAACAGAGGGCGGCGCUGACCGACGCGACCUCUCGGGAGCUGCCGCUUCCAUGCGGAUGGAGCUUCCAGACGAACAGACACCGGCCGCUACACCAGCUUGAAGCAGGCUGACCGCUCCCUUGCAUGGUCUGGCUGCGGCUUUAUGAGUCGUGCUCCGACGAAGCACAAAGCCGCAAACCCCUCCCCCAGCACCGCUGGACUCCUCCGCCUCCCUGUCACCCACCUCGCCGAGCCGUUUCUCCUCUUUGAUCCCAGAAGUGUGCCGAAGUCAUGGUGCUCCGUGCCGGCAGGCGGCAUCGACAGAAGCUCUUCCUCCGGUGGUUCUUGGCGUCACCGCCGUCCACGGCAGUUGGCUCCUCCGCCCAGGAGGUUAUCCUCAUCUCCUAUGGCUAGGAGGAGGACCAGACCCUGCAGCAGUAACCGGAGCAGUAGCUGAAGCAGCCGCCGCAGCAACAGCCCCGGUGUUCUUCUUCCGUCAGAUUGAGCUGUCGAUGGAGCGUUCGCUCCAUUGGAUGAGGUUGUCGCCACCAUCGCCGGUGCGCAUGAGGGUGGAGCCAACGUCCCCACCAUGCAACUAGCCGCUCCAUCCGAUGAAGGACGAGCCCGUCUCACCCCCGCGCAACCACGGCAUCUAGAUCGGACGCCGUGUCAAGGACGAACCUGCGUCCCCACCACUGUACGCCUCAUCGCCACACCUCCAACACCGCGACGUCAAGGUGGAGCUUCCGCCGGUGAUCACGAAGGCGCGGGGCCGCAUCCUCCCCUACCCCGGAGGAGGCGGUUACGCUCGCGCCUCCGGCUCUCGGGCCAUGGUGUCCGAGGCCUCUCCACGUUCGCCAAGAGCGACGUGGCGCCGAAUUGGGUCUGGAAUGACCUGGACCUCGCCACCGCGUGGGCGCUCGACCGCUCCGUGACCACCAUGGAGACGGCCGCCAGGCGCCGUCGCCGUCUUGACAGCGAGCUCGCCAUGAUCGGCGAGGAGUGGUCGCUUAGCGACUGCUCCGCGAACGUCGGUCGCGGCAAGGCCGCCACCAGGGCUUCGAAGGCCACGUCAACAGUGGUUGCAGCAGCCCUCCGCAUAGCGUAGCAGGAGGCAGAGAGGCUCCUACGCGAGCGGCAAGCAGCCGACGGACAAGGAUGUCGCGGCCCUCCGGCGACGUACCGAAGCUAGAGGGAUGACAACGACAACAACGGACGGCGACAUUGGUGCAGCAGGGCAGGGCGGCCACGUGUACGAGGUGGUCGUCCGAUAUAGGGUUUAUUAUAUAUAUAUAUAUAGUUAAGCGGUUGAAAUAUCGAUCAUUUUAUGUAAAUUAUCUCUGAAUUUUAAUGAAAUCCGUCGUGUUUGCAUGAAACUCGUCCGGUUGAUUUAAAUGCGGGUUGAAAUAUACGCGGCUAUGGUUGAACGAGGGCCUCCUGUUUUCGUGGACGGAAAGACCAGUCCGUGGAUGGAUGUGAGAGAAAAUUUACGGGUCCACGAUCGACAAGGCUUCGCUAGUGGCCGGCCGGUUGCUGUGGAGCACGAAGCUUUGAAUUUGUGAAACUGUUGUUUGGGUUGUGGCGUGAAAAACUUAUGGGUCCGUCCAUACGACGGUAAGGCCAACUCCAACGCACGACCCCAUCCUGUUCGGGCGAGUCCGUUUGGGGUAAAACGCACGUAUCAAAAUGCCCAGCGCGGGGGCGCAAACGGAUUUUCGUACGUUUUCUGUCCGUUUUUUACCCAUCCCUUGUCCAAGUUUGGGUCGUCUUUGGGGUAAAACGGGCAACGCGCGGACGGCCUGGACGCGCGCGCCUGUCCUAGCCUAGCCGGUCCGUCAGUGGCAGAGGCCACCCUUUUUCUACCCCACCCCACUCCCACCACUGAGCGCCCCAAACCACAGCCUCCCUUCCUCCCUCGCCGCCGCCGCCACCGCUGCCCCUGCCACUGCGCCGCUCGGACGCGCGGUCGCCCCAAGCGUUCUCGCAGCCCCCGAGCUACCCUAUCACGGCCACCUUGCCCUCCCGGCGGCCAGAUUUGGAGCGGAUCCGGUCGGGCGUGAGCUCGCCCGGCUGCGGGAGGUCGCGUCGUGCCAUGGACUGGCCGGGCACCGGGCCAGAGGGCCACGACCACACCGCAAGGCCGCAUGUAGGUACGGAGUCCGCCUCUAGCCGCUCGGAUCUACACCGUCGGUGGUUCGCCGACAGAUACGCGAAUGGCCGUCGGCCGGGCUCGGUGCUGGCCCAAAGACUCGUCGGCUCUCCGCUGCCACUCAUAAACUGCGAUGACUGCCCGAAUAAGGUCUUGUGCCGCGUGUCUACAACGCCGAAACACCCCGGAUGGGUUUUCGUCAAGUGCUCGAACGAUGGGGUAUGUGCUACUUUAGCUUCGGUUGUGCUCUCGGAUUCGACUAGUUGUACUAACUGAAGUUUUUAUUGUGUAGACCGGAUGCAAUUUUUGGUAUUGGAAAGAAGAAUACAUUGAUCUAUUGAUAGCGCGCAAUUUAAUAGAUGUUCAUGCAUUUUUACCAAGAAUAGAUGCUAGAGAUGAGACUAGUGCAUAUGUUGGUAGAAUAGAGGCUCGAGAUGAGACUAGAUUCGAGGAAGCAACAUCUACUUCUUCAGACUGGAAGAAGAAAGAAGCAUGCAAGAUCGAGCCUCCGCAGAUCAACAAUGAGUGCAUCGAGAAGGCACUAACCCAACUCAAGGGAGCAGUUAUGGAAGUUGGAUAUCUUCUAAAAUGUCUUCUUAUGGUUCUUGUUUUAUUUGAGCUUGCUAUUAUAGUCAAAAUUUGGUGAUGUACUUUGAUGUAUCAAAAAUCAAUGAAAAUUUAUGCUUAAAAGAUAAAAUGCAUGCGGACAGGAUGCGGCCGAAAUGCGUCCGUGCGUUGGGCGCACGGCCACCGCAUUCAAGAACAGGCCCGGACACGACACCACAGAAUCCGGACAAACCCGACGUCCGGGUGGGGUCGCACGCUGGAGUUGGCCUAAAACUAUAUGAAUUUAUUACUUUGCUAACCACGUGUUUCACGCGGUAUACGACGGUAAAACUAAAAGUGUAUGUUUCGCGUCAAUGCAAAGUGGACCCACAUGAGGAGGCAUCACUUGUCCCGUCUCCAUCUGCUUCCGCUUUCCUCUCGCCACAACGCUACUAGCCACACUCUUCCUCGGAGUUCGGAUGCGGCCGCCGGACAUGUAUGACCCUGGCGGCAGCUCCUUGUCCCGGCCGCACGGCAAGCAGGAGCUGCAGCCGGAGGUGGUUCUCUACACGGCGUCAGCUUCAGCGUCGCGCCGCAGAGCGCGCACCUCCGCCGACCGCUACGCCUUGUGCGCCCUGCUGCGCGGCUACGGCCUGGCCGUGGACGUGCGCGACGUGUCCAGGAGCAAAGCGCACCGCUGCGAGCUCAAGUCGUUGCUUGCGGCUCCGGGCUGCGCCUUCUCCCUCCCGCAGCUCCUCGUGGGCGGCCGGCUUGUCGGCGGCCCUGAGGAUGUUAGGCAGCUGCACCGGGCCGGCGGGCUGCGGCCACUCCUGGACGCCGCCCCAAGGCCAAGCCCGGCCUUGGUCUGCCAAGCCUGUAAGAGGGUCGGCUCCGAGCCGUGCCCAAAGUGCAGCGAGUCCCGCAACAAGAUGCUGGAUCACGGCAUUGUUGAGGAGGAGGAGGAGAGGGUUGUCCUUUUUCAUCCAACCCAAGGUGACAACACUUCCUUUCUCUCCUUCCUAUCCCUCUACUACUAUAGCUCGAGUUAGCUGAAUAGGCGCAGCUUCGAUCUGGUCAUGGGAUGGCAUGCCAUGGUGAUCGUGGCAAGUGCGCACACCUAGCUCACGUCAAGCAUCGUGGGAUGGCACGACAGGUAGGCUCGGCUUAGGCAGGAAACUUCCUUCUAUAACGACGACAGUGCAAAUGAAGCUUCAUACAUCGCCUAUCCUACUAGUAGGUCGCCACCCGAAUCAGUUGAAUAAACCAGGGUGGCUUGCUGUCUUGGUGCAUGAUGUCCAUUUCUUGCAAGCAAUAAUAGUUCAUCUGUAGGAACUCUAGCGCUAGGAAACGAAAUCACAGGAUGCAAAUUAACUUUCUUAUCUUGUAUGAUUUAUGGAUUGGAUGAAGAUAAUGUACUGGGGCUCUAGUGCUGGAAGAAAUCUGUGGCAGCCAUCAAAGCUGUCGUUGUACCAUCAUCUCUGCUACAGUGGUGGGCUUAGGCCAUCCGCAUUGUCAUAGCCACCGUCCCUGGGCCAUGGUUUUAGUGGGGUUUGAAAGAAAAUAAUUCUGGUUUUGGUCGCUCUAACUAUAUAUAGUUGUAUAAAAAGACAUGGAAAUCUAAAGUAUUUCAAUUACCAUCUACUCCUACAUACUAGUGGUAAAGAACAUACGAUGCCUUAGUGAUGCUGCGGGGUUGAAUCUAGAAUGUAGCGAUAUUCUUUCAUGUACCUUUUUUGAAUUUUAAAUUUAUGGUUUAUCAAUUUAUCCAAAAUUCACAAAAGAAUAUUUUGAAAAUCCUGAAACUAGUCAUAAAAAUAAUAAAUGAAAUCCAAAACAAUGGUCGCAGCAGAGGCCUCCACCUCCCGUGCCGAUCUCUCAUCAACACAAUUCUUGAUGCUAAUGCGUAUGAAUUACAUCAAACGGGUGACUGCUUCCACUAAAAACUGGUGACUGCUAUUGUUUGCCCAUAAAAAAAGUAGCACCUUGCGUCGUCGACACAUCCAGGCUGUCAACGCUAGAGGCUCCUUUUCCGCAUCUCCUCCUCUUGCCCAUUGUCAAUGUGGUACCGGGCAUAACCUCCAUCGUGGGUGGUUGCGGGGCUUUAGUGCUGUGGGUUCCAAGCAAGGCGGAGAUGUAGAGGGCAGUGGCCCUUGAUAGGUUUCUGACUAGCGCACCAUAGCAACAAAUGGCGACAUCAGUGGGCGUUUUCGCGAUGGCAUUGUUAAAUAUAUUGCCCAUCUCUCUCCGUUAGUUGGGACUUUUGUAGCAACUGGCUGAAGCAUGAAUUCAAUAUGUUAUCAGAGCCAAGAGCUCUUGAGUUUAAAACCCUGCCAACGCAGUAUUAAAGCAAAAAAAGUUUCUGCAACCUACAUUGAUCCCACGUCGAAGGACUAAAUAAGCCUAGACAUGAGGGGAGUGUUGAAAUAUAUUACCCGUCUGUCUCCAUCAAUUCGGACUUUUGAAGCAACCGGAUGAAGCCUGAAUUCAAUUGGCAUCCAGGCUACUUCGACCAUUGUUUUCUGUGAUAGUGAGUGUGGACUCAUGGCAACAUGGUGCUGGCUUUGGUAUUCGAUGUCUGACGCAUCUACGACAUCGUUCAAUGAUGAUUGUCAUCAGAGCCAUGCAGGUGACGGCUUCAUGUCAAUCUAGCAUGUGGAGCACAUGAAGAUCGGCUAGGGCUUCAUAUAUACAAGUGUGUCGUCAAUGACGCAUGCCCUAUAGAUAGCGAUAUCGGCCUCCUUGUGGCGAGGUGCAACGGCGUCGUUGGCCCCCACAUCCAGCUAGGCCGGAUCGACUAAUACAGUAGGAAACUCCCAGAUGGUGACGAGGCAAUGUCUAGAAGCGACGAGGAGGCAGCCCUCAACAUGCUUCCAGCGUUUUCUCCUAUAUUUUCCUCAUCUUUAUGUAGGCCAAUUUGUUGAGCAUCAAUGCUUAACUUUUCUUGCCAUCACUGAAUAAUCAAUCAUAUAUGUUUGUGCACAUCAACCGGUCUUGAGGGCAGGGAUUGAUCUACCUUUAAAAAAGUAUCAAACCAAUAGUUAACAAAAUACCUAGGAUACGACCGAACCAGCCGCGCGCCACCCGCCUUCCGGAUGAACAAAUCGCUUGGAUAAAACAUUUAGUAGAUUUGUGGUGGUGGCUUGUGUUUUAAAUGUCCAUCCAUUCAUAAAUAUUAAAUGUUUCUGUUACUUUUAAUAUUUACUACACAUAGACUGAAAUGAGUCAACAAACACACUAAAUCGUUUCUAUGUAUAUCUAAUUUAGAAAAAAGUUAGAACAUCUUAUAUUUGUGAACGGAGGGGGUAGAUAUGCAUAGCCGCCUUAAGAAGGUGGUGACAUGAAAACCGAAAUAGCUCUAUUGACCUAAAACAGAGGCCACACAAGGAAAAAGAAAAUCCAAUAGUGAUAGCAUAUUAAAUGGAGAAGCAGCUUCUGUGAUUUUGAACUGCAUUUAAAUUUCUAGUUUUGAUGUUCUAAUUCGAAUGAAUGUAGUGUAUAAACGCUUGUAAUCACCUUCCCUCCAGUAUAUGUAAACGGUUGUAACUCCUGCCUUGAUCGAUCACAUUGUCUCCAAAGUGAAGAGUGCACUUCAAAUUGUGGCUAUGAAGACAGCAAACACUCUAGAAUAAAUGAUCUAUAUCGAUUAUAAACAUAGUGCAAAGAUUUGUCGCUUGUCGACAUUGCAUUCAACUAACUAGAUGAUAUAGAUUUGUUCUAAAAGGAAGAUUACCACCAGCCUCUGCAUACUAGGUGAUAUAGAUACACUAAGUUGCUGGGGGAGGUGCCUGCGCCAUACUUGUCGGUGCGGGUGGAUGCCUAGCUGUCAUGGAAGGCAGCACAGGUCGGCCUCCCAUUCAGAAUGACUAGAACGAACUCUCAAGCCGUCCAGGCGACCAACUCGGCAGCUAAGCUUGUGCAUUCGCCCACCUUGUUCAUGGCGCGCUCCAUCGCCAACCACCAUGUGUUCUCUUCCGAAACUGGGCUGGGCGGGCCUCGUGGCGGGGAUCCCUGUCUUGCCUAACAGUGAGGGCGCUGGGCUGGAGUGGCCAUAGUACGUAUUAGGUAGUGUCGUCAGGUAGCUUUUGCAUGGUUAGGCAUACAAUGUCAUUCGCGAGUAUAGUACACACAUUCAACUGUGUGAAAUCGUGUGAACUUUGUUCAACACAGUUUCGACAAUAAUUUUUCUGUGUGAAAUGUCAAACAUAUUGCCCACAGUUGAGCUCAUAAAAUCAUGUUCAAUUUAUCUCACACAUGGUUUAUUUAUCAAAUGUCGUGAGGUGCCCGCCAACAUCACAAAGAUUCAUCCAUGUAAACUGUCGGCAAGGCAUUGCACACAAUUGUUUACUAGUGACGGUGCGCGAUGUGCAAACCAUGUGUGUGUCACCGUGCAUUGUUCAUUACUAGCAAGUGCGAUUCGAGAGAGGCUUAACAGCACAAUUUUCGCACUAGUGCAAGCAUAGGUUAGCAAAACCAUAAUAACACUAGAUGAGACCUGACUGCACAUCACAAUGACAUAGGAAUGCGCGCAAGCUAAUUAGGUAAUCCCAAACUUGCUGCCCUUAUAUUACAGAGCAAUUGUUGUUUCCGGAAAGGGGAGUACCCCGGCCUCUGUGCAUCAGAAACAUGAAAACAAGUUCAAGUCAUUGAAUACCCAAACAAACUAAAAAUAAAACACGACCACAACCAGCCGGACACAAGAUUACAUAGCUCAUCCACAAGUUCUACGAAUGGUCGUCUGCCAAACUGGUUGAAUAAACAAGGUUGAGCUUUUGUCUUUUAUGAACUUUCUCUCUGCCUGUUUAUUUUUUAUAUGUGUUAGUGUUAGUUGUGAGCGUCCUAGUCAUGCAGACAACGGGUGUGUGCUCAUUAUGCUUGUAUCUACGAUGCUUCAUUUUGAGUCAAUAAAGUCUAGUCUUUAUCAAAGAAAUGUCUAUAAGCAAUUAGUUUGUUCCACAAUUUAAAUGUGUUGGUGGAUAUGACGAGUGAAGUACAAAGUAGAAAAUCGAUAUAAUUUAGCUUUUCUGAAUGUCAGUUAUGUGAAUAGAAAUAGAUGUGAGUGUGACAUGUACUGUUAGUUAUUUAUUACAUGCAACAUCCGUUGUGUAAAUUAAAUCAUUCUUUCUCGUCUAUGUUUUUUUUCCAGAUGUUUCAGUAGGAGGUAGAGGCAGAGAGAUGGAUGCCAGUAUUAGUGUUUCUUUGGGUGCCAUGAGACCCCUUCUUAAGAAGCUUGACAUGAUGCUAGGUCCUGAUGGAUGCAAGCUAACCAAGAGGGUCAAUGAUAGGUCGCAACUCCUCAAAGAUGAUAUUGAAAAAAACAGAUUGAAUAUGCAGCUCCUGAUGUGUCAAGACAUUUUAUCUCAAAAACCAUUUGUGCUGAUGUCAUUCGUGCUCCCAGGAAGCUCAAGUGGUACCAGCACAUGGUUGAAAAGGUAUCAGAAUUCGGGAUCUAUGCCCGGGAGGCAAUCCAACGGUACGAGAGUGUUAGACUUUGUAACGUAGCCUACCUGUGUAAUAUGUAUAUCAUGUAUCAUUAUAAAUAUAUGUGAUAGGCCACCCCUAGAGGGUUGAGCCAGUUCUCACAAAUCCUACGUCUAAUAUGGUAUCAGCCUAAAACUCUAGGACCUAUUCCACCUCCGACUCAGCCGCCGCCGCCGCCGUGCCCCAAACCCUAGGGCCGCCGCCGUCGCCGCUGCAAUGUCUGCUUCCGCCUCUAGCUCUGCCAGCUCCGGGACCAUACCCGCAACGCUGGCCGCCCUGCUGAAUCUCCCUGCCCGCACCGGUGCCUCGCCGACGCCGCACUUCUUCGGCACCACGGUGGUGGGCUCGCUGUUUUCUGCCCCGAUCCCGCCGUCUCCUGUGCCGUCGGCCGUGGCGGCCUCCACCGCCGCAACGUUCGCGCCACCGCCGGCUACCGCUGGCUCGUCCCCGACACUCGCCAUCAUGCCGGCGGCCUCGGGGGGCUCCGACGAUCAGUGCGCGGGUGUGACACCCCCAGCCCCGGCGGUCUCCGUGGUAGCUGCCCCUGACGCAGCCCUGCUCUCCGGGCCAUUCCACUUCGACAACCUCAUCACGACUCGUCUCACGCCGAACAUGUUUUGGCGCGCCAAGGUUCUACCGAUGCUCCACAGCCACUCCCUCCUUGGCUAUGUCGAUGGCUCUCUACCGUGCCCGCCGCAGGUCCUUCACACCGUCCACGGUCCGGCAUCAACCCGGUGCAUCGUCUGUGGGUGCAACAGGACCAAGCGAUCCUCUCCGCCAUCCAGGGUUCACUUGGAGACGGGGUCGCUGGCCUUUGUCUCUUCGCUGCCUCCUCUUUGGAUGCGUGGACGACUCUGGAACAUGCGUUCGCCCAGACCUCCACUGCUCACACGAUGGCUCUUCGUGGCAAGCUUGAUGAUGUCAAGAAACUGGACUCCUCGGCCACAACAUACUUCAACAAACUCAAGGUCUUGGCGGAUACACUGACCUCUAUCAGUCGCCCAUUGAGUGAUGAGGAGUUUGCCGGCUAUGUGAUUAAGGGCCUUGAUGCUGACUACGACAACCUUGCCGAGGCCGUCCACAAUGCCAAACCGCCACUUCCGCCGCACGAGCUCUUCUCCCGGCUGCUCUUCACUGAGCAGCGCAUCGAAGCUCGGCGCUCCGCGGCCUUCUGGGCCUCGCGUGGCCAGCGCCCGCCUGCACCUUCGCGGCCUGCCCGAGUCACCAACCCGCCAGCGCCGACCUCGGGCGGAGGCCCUGUACGCUGUCAGCUUUGCGGGUGUGAGAGGCAUGUCGCCUCCAGGUGCCAUAAGACGUUUCAGCGGAGCUUCCUGGGUAUUGGCAACGAUGGAAAAGGUAAUGAGCGACAGUUCGCCAUGGCAGACUUUGGCCCUCCUACUGCUCAUGUUGCUGCCAAGAGCAAGGAUACACGCGUCGACCCCGGCUAUACACCUUCCUAUCCGGUUGAUCCUGCGUGGUAUAUGGACACUGGCGCCACGAAUCAUAUGACGAACGAGCUCGCUAAGUUGUCCACCCAUGAGCCAUAUUACGGUCCUGACAAGGUUCACACCGCCAACGGUGUAGGUAUGCCCAUCUCUCACGUUGGUCAAGCAUCUCUCUUAACUAGUCAUCCAUCUAGGGAGUUUCAUCUUCGUAAUAUUUUACGGGUCCCCUCGGUGACUCUUAAUUUGUUAUCUGUUCCAAAACUCACUCUUGAUAACAAUGUCCUAUGUGAAUUUCACCCGUUUGAUCUUUUUGUUAAGGACCGAGCCACCCGGGAAAUUCUGCUUAGUGGUUGUCUCAGCCAUGGCUUAUACCGCUUGGAGGAUCCAUCCGCCCCGCGCGUCUUCAGUGGUGUUCGUGUGUCGCCGUCCCACUGGCACUCUCGCCUUGGUCACCCUGCCACUCCCAUAGUUCGUCAUAUACUUCACCAUCAUGAGCUGCCUAUUGAGUCUAGUAAUAAGGAGAUGUCCGUGUGUGAUGCCUGUCAACAAGGCAAAAGUCAUCAGUUACCAUUUGUUUCUUCUACUCGUCAAGUAACGAGUCCUCUUGAACUUGUGUUCUCUGAUGUGUGGGGUCCCGCUCAAACUUCUGUGAGUGGUCACAACUAUUAUGUUAGCUUUAUUGAUGCCUAUAGUGGCUUUACCUGGCUUUAUCUUCUUAAGCGCAAGUCUGAUGUGUUUGAUAUAUUCAUUCAGUUUCAAGUGCAUGUAGAUCGUCUCCUCAAGCAUAAGAUUAUUCAUGUUCAGUCUGAUUGGGGGGCGAAUAUCGCAACCUCAAUGCUUUCUUUAAUAAGCUUGGGAUCUCUCAUCGUUUAUCAUGUCCUCAUACACAUCAGCAGAACGGCGCUGUUGAGCGCAAGCAUCGACAUAUAGUUGAGACCGGACUCACACUCCUGGCUCAUGCGUCUGUACCCUUUCAUUUUUGGAGUGAUGCUUUUGCUACAGCAUGUUUUCUUAUUAAUCGUCUACCUACGCGUGUCAUUAAUAUGAAAACUCCUAUUGAGCUCCUUUUACAUGACAUUCCUGAUUAUACCUUCUUUAAGGUGUUCGGGUGUGCUUGUUGGCCCCAUCUUCGUCCAUAUAAUUCUAGAAAACUUGAAUUUCGGUCUAAGAAAUGUGUGUUUCUAGGUUAUAGUUCUCUUCAUAAGGGCUACAAGUGUCUUCAUGUGCCAACAAAUCGUGUCUAUAUAUCUCGUGAUGUUGUCUUUGAUGAGAACGUCUUCCCCUUUUCCUCCAUGCCGCAGCAACCUUCCACACCACCAUCUAUGCAUUCAUCUCCUCUUAUGCUUGGCCAAUUUGAAGAUGUUGCAUAUUCGCCUGUGUUGUUACCUAACCAUGGUGCAGGUGUUGGACGUGGUGCUCUCUUGGAACUUAUUCCGGAUACACCUAUCGCGCAUGUUGACCAGUCAGUGCAUGAGCAUGCACCCGUCGUCAACCCCGCUUCUGGCGUCGUGCCCGUCCAUGCAACUGGACAGGUGCUGGUCUCCGAUACUGGGCUGGUGUCAUCCGAGGCCCGAUCCCCGACAGUCGAGGCGCGGCCCACGACGGUUGAGGCACGGCCCACGACCCCGCCGCCUUCCCCUCGGUGGCUCGAGCGGUCUACGUCCCCGCCUCCACGCCUGGACUCGCCUCCUCCCUCGACAGCUCGUAUGUCCCUACCGCCCCUUUUGCCUGGGUCGGCUGGGCCUGCUGUCGCCUCACCUGAGCCUUCGCCUGGGCUCCCGUCGCCCGGUCUGCCGUCAUCCUCUCCCGAGUUGGCGUCGCCGGCUCCUGUUCCCGUUGCACCGCAACGCCCGCAUACUCAUAGACGCAGCGGUAUUGUCAAACCCAAGCAGCGUCAUGAUGGUACUGUCACAUAUUUGGCUACCUGUCUUGCUCAUUCUGUUGCAGAUCCCACUGAUGAGCCACGCCACUAUGAGGUUGCUAUGAGUAUUCCUCACUGGCGGGAAGCUAUGGAGCAAGAGUACACCGCUCUUCUGCAUAACGAGACAUGGACGUUGGUUCCUCCUCCGCCUCGUGUCAACGUCAUUGAUUCGAAGUGGGUUUUCAAAGUCAAGAGACAUGCGGACGGGUCUAUUGAGCGCUACAAGGCGCGUCUCGUGGCUAGAGGGUUUAAGAAGCGACAGGGCCUGGACUACGAGGACACAUUCAGCCCGGUUGUUAAACCUACUACCAUCCGGCUUCUUUUGUCUCUUGCAGUCUCUCGUGGUUGGUCUCUUCGACAGCUUGAUGUGCAGAAUGCUUUUCUCCAUGGGUUGCUUGAAGAGGAGGUUUAUAUGCGGCAGCCUCCAGGGUUUGUUGAUCCAGAUCAGCCUCAUCAUCUUUGUCAUCUGACGAAGGCGCUCUACGGACUGAAACAGGCACCACGCGCCUGGCAUGCUCGUCUUGCUUCGGUCCUUCGUACUCAUGGAUUCGUUCCGUCGACAGCUGACAGUUCGCUGUUCUUAUUUCAGCGCCCCAGUCUGACGGUGUAUUUGCUUGUGUACGUGGAUGAUAUUAUUCUGGCCAGUUCUUCUACCACGGCUGCUGAUGCUCUUGUGACUGCUCUUGGCAGAGAUUUUGCGGUUAAAGACUUGGGACAACUACACUUCUUUCUGGGCAUUGAGGUUGCACAUCAGUCUCGUGGCAGCUUGGCUCUCACUUAGAAAAAUUACUCCCUUGAUCUCUUGCGCCGUGCUGGUAUGCUCAAGUGCAAGCCGCCACCCACGCCCAUGUCCUCUAUGGAUAAGCUCUCGGCCACUGUUGGUUCUCCUCUUUCCUCUCAGGAUGCUACGGAGUAUGGGAGUAUUGUUGGUGGCUUGCAGUAUCUGACUAUCACCCGUCCUGAUCUUUCAUUUGCAGUUAACAGAGUAUGUCAGUAUCUUCAUGCUCCUACAGAUGUGCACUGGUCUGCUGUGAAGCGCAUUCUUCGUUAUGUGCGUCUCACUGUCUCCUAUGGUCUUCAUAUGCGACCUAGUUCCUCUACUGUUCUCUCUGCAUUCUCAGAUGCUGAUUGAGCUGGGUGUCCAGAUGGCAGGCGAUCCACGGGGGGACAUGCUGUAUUUCUGUGUCCUAAUUUGAUCGCCUGGAGUGCGCGCAAGCAAGCCACUAUUUCUCGCAGCAGCACCGAGGCUGAGUACAAAGCGGUUGCCAAUGCGACUGCUGAGCUUAUUUGGAUUGAGUCUUUGCUUCGAGAGCUGGGGAUCUCCCAGUCACAUCCUUCGGUUCUCUGGUGUGACAACAUCGGUGCUACGUUUCUUUCGACAAAUCCGGUGUUCCAUGCACGAACCAAGCACAUUGAGAUUGACUAUCAUUUUGUGAGGGAACGUGUUGCACAGAAGCUACUACAGAUCAAGUUUAUCUCCUCAAAGGAUCAACUUGCCGACAUCUUCACCAAGCCUCUACCUUCUCCCAUGUUUGAGGUCUGUAGGCGCAAUCUCAACCUCCUAGAUGCAUCAGGAGUGAGUUGAGAUUGAGGGAGGGUGUUAGACUUUGUAACGUAGCCCACCUGUGUAACAUGUAUAUCAUGUAUCAUUAUAAAUAUAUGUGAUAGGCCACCCCUAGAGGGUUGAGCCAGUUCCCACAAAUCCUACGUCUAAUAGAGAGGUACCAGCUCCAUUGUUGUAGCACCUCGGCGGCACGUAGAUUUUCAGCCAUUGGGCCUAUGAUGCCAAUGCUGCCACUGCCUUGUGAGAAAACUUGUUCCGGCCUAGUAAUUGAUGCUCGGAUGAGCAACUUUAUCAACUUUUUGUCUAACAACACGGAUCGGCAGCUGAAGGUGGUGUCUAUUCAUGGAUCUGGAUGUCUUGGGAAAACAAUGCUUGCCAAAGUGUUGUACAAUAAAAUUGGGAGGAAAUUCCAUUGUCGGGCUUUCGUCCGGGUGUCCAAAAAGCCUGAUAUGAAGAAGCUUUUCUGUGACAUGCUAUCACAAUUCCAGCGGAAGCAGCCCCAAGCAAGCCAAGACGCUUCCGAUGAAUUUCGUGUUACUGCUGAAAAUAUCAGGAAUUAUCUACAUGGCAAGAGGUACUUAUUUUCCACAUGCAAAUCGUAUGUACUAGUUGUAUUGCAAAGUAUGUACUUAUUUUCGACAUGGUCCAGAAUCGCAUGUACUACACUAAAUCCCUACAGGUUGCUCUUUUGUUUUUGACAAAAAAAAAACAUGAUGAUAUAUAGUCAAUUUCUGAAACGAUGUUUUUCAGACAAGCUUGAUAGUAAGCUUUACAGUGAGCUAGAAAAGCUUUAGUACAUGUCUGUCGAGUGAACGGACAUUAGUUUUAAUCUUGAUGAUCACUAACUUGAUGCUGGCAGUAACAUUUAACUUCAGAUUAAUACCAUAUAAGUCCUGCACAUGUAUGGACUAAAAAUUCUUUCUUUUCUAGCAUAUCUAAGUGUUGUUACAUGCGUGCAUUCUUGACAUGCAGGUAUCUACUUGUUGUUGAUGAUUUAUGGGAUACCUCAGCAUGGGAUGUUAUUAAUCAGCUUUUUCCCAAGUGUAGUCAAGGAAGCAGAAUAAUAACAACUACACAGAUUGAAGACGUUGCAUUAGCAUGUUGCAGCGAUGACCCAGAACAAGUUUUUGAGAUGAAUCCUUUGGAUGAUGAUCACUCAAGGAAGCUAUUCUUUGACAGGCUUUUUGGUUCUGAAACAAGUUUCAAGCCAAAUUGUAGAAAUAUGUGGUGGUUUGCCGCUAGCCACCAUCAGCAUUGCUAGUCUUUUAGCAAACCAGCCUUCUGUAUCAGUAGAUUUAUUGACACACAUACAUGAUUCGUUAGUGUCUUGUUUGUCAUCAAAUUCAACUUCAGAAAGAACGAGUCAAGUAAUGAACCUCAGCUACCACAGCCUUCCUCAUUAUCUCAAGACAUGCUUGCUCCAACUUGGUAUGUAUCCAGAGGGCUCCAUAAUCUUCAAAUAUGACCUGGUCAGGCAAUGGGUUGCUGAAGGGUUUCUUGCUGCAAGUGAAGGACAAAAUAUGGAACAAGUUGCCAGAAUGUAUUUUGAUGAACUUGUUGAUAGAAGGUUCAUCCAACCCGUGUCUAUCAACUUCUACAAUGAGGUGGUGUCCUGCACAGUUCAGCUCAUGGUUCAUAAUCUUAUUGCACACAAGUCAGCUGAAGAGAAUUUCCUUGUGGUAGUAGAUUACAAUCGAAAGAAUUUGGCACUUUCUCAUAAGGUCCAUCGACUGUUUCUCCAACUUGAUGAUGCAAAAUAUGCCAGGAUACCAGCAAACAUCAGAAAGUCAGAAGUACGUUCACUUGGAGUUUUUGGAUUAUCAGAGUGCAUGCCUUGCAUUGCAGAGUUCAAGCUUGUCCGGGUUCUGAACCUUCAACUGUCUGACCACUAUAAUGGCGACCAAGACCUAACCAUAGAUCUCACUGGGAUAUCCGAACUGUUCCAUCUUAUAUAUCUGAAGAUUGCUUGUGAUGUCAGCAUAAAAUUGCCAGGCCGUUUGAGAGGGCUGCAAUGUUUGGAGACACUGGAUGUUAUGGAUACACCAAGAGGCACUUAUGUUCCAUGGGACAUUAUAUAUCUCCCACACUUGUUGCACCUCAGUCUUCCUGCCCACUUGUUGAACCACCUGCAAGAUAUUUAUAUUUCUACGCCGCCUUCUUCCGAUUCCUACCAUCUGAACCGAAGCAUGGAAGCUCUGGAUUCUUUAAUAUGUGAAGAUGGCAGCCUGAAAACUAUAAAAGUGGUGGCUCACGGAUCCUUGGUUGGGUAUGAUUCCUGGUAUUUCGUCAAACGACCCAACCAUCUCAAGAGAUUUCAGUUCUCACCGCACAAAACCGUCAUAUUUUCUCAUCUGGAUGUGUGGAUGAAACAACUUGGCAACCUAUGCGUUAUGAAGAUUGCAGUGGCUGAACUGUCGAUAGAUAAUGUUGAUAUUCUUAGAGGGUUGCCUGCCCUCACUGCUCUGUCGUUGUAUGUGGAGAAGUCACCUGGUAUUAAGAUAAUCUUUGGCACGGCUGCUGGAUUCACCGCUCUCAAGUACUUGAAGCUGAGGUUCAUGAGUGGAAUAGCUUGGCUAAAAUUUGAGGCGGACGCAAUGCCUAAUCUCUGGAAACUCAGGCUCGUUUUCGACGCCAUCCCCCAAAUGGACCAACGACUUGAACUUUUUUCAGAGUCUGAGCAGUGGAAACAAUAUCGACAUGGUACUGCAUUAAUCAUCAUGGAGCAUAUGACAGGCCUUGGAGAGGUAUCCGCUAAAUUUGGUGGUGCAGCUGCUGAUAUGGAGUAUGUCUCCAGGAUCGGUGUAAUUAGCAAUCAUCCGGGCAAUCCUAUAAUCGACGUGCAACUAGUGGAUUCUGGUUUCCAUGGUGAUAAAAGGUAGUACAGUACUAGUCCAAGCUAAAUGAUUGUAACUCUUCAGUCUAAAUGGUUGUUGUAAUCUGCAGGAUAUCAUGGAGGUCACCAGAGUCCUCGUCGCGCCUGCAUCCUCCAGCUCCAGGUAUGCUUUUUACUCCCUCCGUUCCCAAAUAUAAGUCUUUCUAGAGAUUUCAACAGGUGACUACAUACGGAGCAAAAUGAGUGAAUCUACACACUAAAAUAUGUCUACAUGCAUCCGUAUAUUGUAUUCCAUUUGAAAUGUCUACAAAGACUUAUAUUUAGGAACGGAGGGAGUAGUCAACAGGAGUUGCAGUAGAAAUUAAAUUACUCGUAAAAAUUAGCAAAACGUUUGAUGAACUGUUGACUUUUGUCAGGUGCAGAUGGUGGAGAGGUCUCGUGGAGCAAUAUCAUUGGUGUGAUAGGUCAUGACCUCUUCAUGUAUUGCCUCCACCGCCUCUCCAGGUGGGAAUAUGGCGCCAUCGCCUCCCUCAACCGUGAUUUCAAUUCUGUGGUUCGCAACGGGGACAUCUACCGUCUGCGUCGCAAGAAUGGGGUCGCAGAGCACUGGAUCUACCUCUCUUGCGGUAAUAAUCGCCACGAGUGGGAGUCUUAUGACCCGUCCACUGGGCGCUGGAUCCAAGUGCCCAAGAUGCCACCGGCUGAAUGCUCUUACUGGGAGUCAUUUGCUGUAGGGACCGAGCUGCUGUUGUUUUGGGACGGAAGGGUUGCCUUGAGAUAUAGCAUCCUUACCAAUUCAUGGACAUGGCUGGCUGAUGUGAUGAACAUCCGGCGGCGCUGGUUUGGGUCAGCAAGUGUCGGUGAAAAGGCAUAUGUCACGGGAGGCGUUGAUUCUUCUGAAAGGAUAUUGAGCUCCGCUGAGAUGUAUGACUCGGAGAUACAUACUUGGACACCCCUUCCCAGCAUGAAUAGGGCUAGGUACAAAUGCUCUGGCGUGUUCAUGGAUGGCAAGUUCUAUGUCAUCGGUGGUAAUAGCAGUAGCCGCGAGCUAUUGACAUGCGGUGAGAAGUAUGACUUGAACCGGCGGUCAUGGAGGGUCAUCAACGACAUGUCUCAGGGGCUCAACGAGACAAGCUGUGGAGCUCCUCUGCUCCUUGCAGUUGUGAAAAAUGAGCUUUAUGCUGCUGAUUACUGCGAGAAUGAUUUGAAGCAGUAUGAUAAGCUGGACAACAAGUGGAUCACUCUUGGAAAAUUGCCUGUACAGUCUAAGGACAAAGAUGGCAGGGACAUGGGUUUCCGAGCGUGUGGUGACUGGCUGAUUGUUAUUGGACCUCCAAACAAUUCUACUGAUGAAAAGGUGGUUGAGAUUCAUUCAUGGAUCCCGAAUGAGCAACCGCCUGUGUGGAAUUUGAUUGCAACACGGCCAUACAAGGACUACGAGAUUAUAUGCGCCGUGAUGGGUUGCUGAAUCCACAGAAUAAAUACUGAAUGCAGUGGGUAUUUAUGAAUGAAUGAAGAUUUCUGACGAGUUCCAGACAUUAGUUUAUAUUAACUGGACAGGACAUCUAUCUGCUGAGAUUUGACGUGUUUUCCUCAUUUGCAUUUGGAUCAACAGCUCGUGUUCUCCACAUGGCUUUUCACUGUUGAUGCUUCAUCUUUGGCUUCAAUAAAGGCAUGUCUUCUCUAUUAUCGAUAAGGUGGGUACCUCAUAUUCAGUUAUUCACUGCUAGUCUAUUUCUCUUUAUCCACUUUGCUCUAUGAUAUGCUUUUGUUCAGUUCUGUUAUUGAUAUGCUUCUGAAUGGUAUUGAUAUGCUGUUUUGCUGGUUGUGAAUAAUUGCUAUUUAUGAUGUGCAACUGGAUUAACCUUGGUACAUUGUAUUAUUUUAGUUUUUGUUGUGAACUUGUGAUUGUCGAUUUGUUGGUUUCUUUGACUGACGUUGUGUUUCUGUUCAUAUUUCCAUGCAGUGGCUGCUAGAACGUCCACCCGGGCCUCAUUCUCAAGUCUAAAUGUCCUAUGAGGACCAAGGCUACAAAAAGAGAAGACAUGAAUGAGUUUGGAGAAAGUGCCAGUUUGGUUUUUUCAGUUGCUAGCUAGCCGUGAUUUCUUAUUGCAAUUUGGAUUCCAGAAAUGUUACUAUCAGUUACUAUGUACCAACUUUAUCUGUACCGUACCGUGUUACUAUCAGUUAUUUUCGAACAUCAAAUUCAGUCUCUAGCUUGCCCUCUUUUCCAUUCAUGACUUUUUAAACUCUGAAUAAAGAAAACAAUUCGGAAAGAAGCACAUGUGUAUCAUUGGCUAUUGACUCAGAUGAAUAUGAUCGAGUACCUUCUCGAGAUGGUUGCGUAGAUUUCAUCUUACACGCACAGUUGCAAUGUGUCACAAGACUCACAAUCAUGCAAUGCACCUAGCGAGUCCUUUUUUGCCGAAAAGAAAGAUAAACCCCCGGCCUCUGCAUUUCGACAAUGCAUGCGACCAUCUUAUUAAUUAUUCACAGAGACCAUACAAAGUAAUAUAUCAGUGAGUCUCAAGCCACCAUCUAGGCAACACUAGUUGCUACUCCUAUCCCAUUAAUUGAUGAAGGUGUGCCGAAUAUCCGGGCCUAAUACCAAACGACAUCUCACCAAAUCCUAAUAUCUAAAGCCAGAUGCCCCAGCCCAGCCACAUACCGUGACUGGGUCCCACACCGGACCGACGCACUCUCAGAGGUUGCCGCCACCAUCUUCCACCGGUCCAUCUUCAGAGCAGCAACUAACCCAUCGACCUUGCCUGGCCUGCCGUCGACACCACCACCACGCCAGACAACUCCACCAUCCUUCACGAAUCUGUCCACAUGCCCCCAUCGCCGAACCUCCGUAGCACCAUGCCACCGGGAUCCGCCGUCGGCCUUGCGGUGGAUGAGACACCGCUCUGCCGCUUGUCCCGUCCAACUAGCACUUUCUCCAAAACGAUGCCCUCAGGAGGGACAAUGGCAUCAAAGGUACCACCAUCGUCCGAUCCGGUAGAUCCAGAUCUAGGGUUUGCCCCGAAGCAUCACGAGUGGGGUGCCAGGACCUGCAACAACGAUGCCUCGAGAAGGGAACGACGCCAUAGACGCCGUCAUCGUCCGCCAUGACCGAAGUCGGCGCGAUUUUCACCGGAAGUCGCAUCCCCCCAACCUCGCAGCUGGCUGGAACCGAACGCAGCCUCGCCGUGGAGACGAGGGCCGCCGUCGGCACGCCGGCAGGGAGCCUCCAGCUGCCCCUCACCGGUCCUCCUUGCGCCACCGUCCGGCCAAGGCCGUGCCGAGACGGAUCUGGACAGGACGCCAGAUCCGCAGCCAUCGGAGUCACCCAUGUGCCCGCGGCCGCCACACCGCCAGCCAUGUAGGUUCCCAUCGCCAUCCGCGUACAUAGCAGGGACGCCGCCCUGACUGCUGCCCCCGGCCUCCCUGCAUGAGACACCGCCUCCGUCUCACCGGCUGCCGCGGCGACCACCCGCCCUGGAUCAUACAGGGCCCGCCGCCACCGCGGCCCUUGCCGGCGGCAGCGGCGGCUAGGGAUGAAGGAGCGGGGAGGGGCUGGCGACGUGGGAUCGGGGGCCCCUGGCGCCGUCCGAGGGGAGGCGACGUGAGGGGGAGGUGAGUCGUCGGGGUGAGGUGGCGGCGGCCUGAGAUGAGAUGCGAGACGCGGCCGCUGCUUUACCUACUGUAGACCGGCGAGUGUUUUGCACCUAGCGAGUCCUGGCCACAAAUCGGUGUUGACAUUACUAACCGAACUAAAUAGUUCGAAAUGCCUCCCAUGUUCAGAUAUCCUGAAGCUAACAGAGAACUGACGAUGGAGAAUAGACAGUUUAGCAGACAUAGAUAUCACUACUGUUUUUGAGCAGGUUCGUCAGUCCAGUAAGUCUUGACAGCAACAAGGAUCUUCUCAGGGUUGAAUGUCCCAGAUUGAUGAUUCAUUAUUUUGGCUCUUCCAUCUCAUGCCUUUAGUGAUGGAUUGCAUAUCUUCACUAACAUCUCCACCGUACCGCCAAACACCACACCUGCGACAUCCCUCCGAGGGUCCUUCUGAAGUCUGAAUCUCGUAAUACGUUUUAGUCAUGUCUUCUGUAUCGAGGAGAAAACAACCAAAGAUAUCGCAAGGUAUUUCUGUACUGUCGUCAGUCAUGACGUGUUUCUUUCCCGCUGCAUUUACAUGCUUUGCAUUUUGGUUGCCAUAAGAAAGUUCGGAUUAGAUUAGUCGUGUCGCCUCCUUGGUGCUCGCCUUGUUGUGUUUUAUUUUCUAGGGCUUGUUGAGUUGUGCCCUCAGCUGUACCCUGCACUUGGUGUUCGUUGUGUUGUGUGUGUGCGUGUGUGAACUUGGCUGUGCCUGUUUGUUGGACCGUUUGGCGGUUUGCUUUAUCUAUAAAGCGGGGCGAAAGCCUUUUUCGGUAAGAAAGUUCGGAUUAGGUAAUUAGCUGUUCCCUUAGUAUUAAUCUUCGACUUCUAAAAAGAUCUCAGACAAGACCUGCCACUGCCUUUCUGUUCGGUCUUCAUUGCCAAGCUUCAGGAUAGCUGUGAUAGAGUCAUUAUCUGUUUUGUGGUCUGUACUCAGUUAACGGCAUUUCUUGUGAGGUGUGACACUUGACACAUUGCGAUUGUGUAUAAGAUGAUAUUCAGUAAACUAUUUUGAAAGGGUGGGUAGGGUACUACAUUAACGUGCACUAUAAUAGUCUAAAAUGAAUGUGUUUCUUUCCGUCUGUUUAUUUUUCUUCAGAGUUUGUACAACCUUCAACCGAACGAAGAAAAGAAAGCAGUCUACCAUUUAUUCUCCUUGCCAAAAAAAGGAGAGAGAGGAUAAAUAGCAGCAUCUCUGUCUAUCCCCAAGAAGAGUCGACCUUACGCCUGAAACCUGAAGCUACAAACAAGUAUUCAGAGUUGAGAAAACAGAGCAAAAGCAGAGGAAAGCUAGCUACAGGCAAGCACAAUUGCUGCCUGUAUCUAUAUGUAUCAGUUCUGAUUGUCCCUAGGUGCUUCAGGGCUCGGUGAUGAUUGCAGGCUGCCGCAUUUGGGUUCGCAAUCCAGGCCCUUUUCUCAAAAGACAUACAAAAUCAACAGUAUUAUCAUCAAGGGAUCUCCCGUAGGCCGUAAGUAAGCUUCACAACUGAAUUACUUGAGAAGAUGGCGCACAGGUAGUAGCAAAUUCCAGCUGUCUUGGAUUCUUCCGAUGCUAUCUUAGUGAUGUAGCUAGUAGAGCUGAGGUGAAGUUAGGAAGUAGUAAUAUUCUCGAGUUAAUAAAUCUAUUUGAUGAGGUGGUGAUAGGAAGCCGAUGGAUAUAGUGUUUUUUAUAGCUAGACUAGAGGUGUAGAAUCAAAGAUGGGAAUUUCGAUUCUGAGACUAUUGGGUGUGAAUAGGGUGGGUUUAGAAAUGAGGAUGAAGAUAUUGAUGCUAUCCUAGUAAUACAUUUAGCUAUUCAAUUUCUACGGCUAUGGACUCUGUCUUGUAAAUAUGAUGAUGAAGUGGUUCCAACAAGUUCCUCCUCUCUGUGCUUUGGCUUCCAAUUGUAAUGUAUGUUGUCUGACAUGAUAUAUAUUUGCUCCUGGUCCAUCAAAGUGACUGUGACUGUGUGCACAGGGAGAUAGGCAGGCCUUUGUCUUCCUAUUUUUUUUAGAAGAACAGGGAAUCUUUUCCCCGGUCCCAUUAUAUUAAUGAAACCAAAAGCCUUUGUCUUCCUAUGCCUGAACUAAAAAUUAGCAGCGCAAUUGGAUAUCAGAAACAGAAAAUGAAGACGCUGCCCCCUCGCGCUAAUGGCGGAUUCCAUCCUUUUUCUUUUUUGCAGCAAAGAGUGCUCCGAAGUGGACUAAAUAUUGCGAGAACCAAGACGACCG
rnacentral:lncRNA from 1 species